rnacentral:lncRNA from 1 species
UGUAAGUUCAAAGUUGAACUUAAUUCAAAAAGUAAAGCAAUUCUAUUUGCUCACAAGAAAUGUGUCCCCCGCCAUACCUUCUUUCCCUCUGUUUGUCCACUACCGCGCCCGAACCUAAGCAAAGGAAGUCCAAAAGACAGACCCGAAUAAAGAAUAAAUAGUAAUCUUUGACAAAACAAAUAAGAAGAAAAAUGAUUCUUACUUCGAUACAAGAAGAAUCGACACAAGAAAAAGGCAAAAAAGCCUUUUUCUUGUGCCCAAUAGAGGAUUAAGAAGACCCACAAUUCCUCCUAAAAGGACUUGUUCCUAGCCUAACAGCCGUAGUGUUUUACUCUUGUUAAAUAUCCCUUGUAGUUACUAUGUUGUAAAACUCUUGUUAAAUAUUCCUUGUAGUUACUAUGUCGUAAAGUGGUUUCAAAUUGACAAUUGCAUAUUUGGGUACCAAUUUGGACUCCUGCAAAAACAUCGUGGAAUUAGGACUUUUUAUUUCACCGUUAGGGACUCGUGGAUCAUGGUUAAGGGAUACUAGAAGACACUUGGAUGGUACUAUGGUAGUACUUUCUGAAAGGAUCACGAUGCCCAAGAGGGGGGGGUGAAUUGGGCUUUUCUAAAAAUCAACACUAAUUAAAACCUAAGCAAGAGCUAAACAAGAGCCCAACUUCACCCCAACAACUAGCACUAAGAAUAUAAUACUAGAAAUGUAACAAAGCUAAGAUAAUACUUCAAAUACUUGCUAAACAAAUACACAAGGUAAAGUGCUUGAAUUAAGUGCGGAAUGUAAAGCAAAGUUUUAGAAGACUCCUCCAAUUUUUCCCGAGGUAUCGAAGAGUCGGCACUCUCCACUAGUCCUCGUUGGAGCACCCGUGCAAGGGUAUCGCUCCCCCUUGGUCCUCGCAAGAACCAAGUGCUCACUACGAGAUGAUCCUUUGCCACUCCGGCGCGGUGGAUCCCUCGAGACCGCUUACAAACUUGAGUCGGGUCACCAACAAGAUCUUCACGGUGAUCACCGAGCUCCCAACACCACCAAGCCGUCUAGGUGAUGCCGAUCACUAAGAGUAACAAGUCGUAGACUUUCGCUUGACCAAAAGAAGCCUAAUGCAAGUGGUGUGUGCUCUAGGUGGCUCUCACUAGCGCUAAUGAGGAACAAACGCGGAUUAUGAUUCUCUAAACUCCUCACUAGGCUUUUGGUGCUUGCAAUGCUCUAGCAAUGUGCUGGAAUAAAUGUGGAGUGCAAGACAUUGAAUAUGGUGGGUGGAGGGGGUAUAAAUAGCCCUCACCACCAACUAGCCGUUACAGGCAAUUCACUGCGCGAUGGCGCACCGGACAGUCCGGUGCGCCACCGGUGCGCCAACGGUCGUUUCCAACGGCUAGUUCUGACAGAGAGCCGUUGGACUCAUGGCGCACCGGACAGUGAACAGUCCACUGUCCGGUGCACACCGGACAGUCCGGUGCGGUGUCCGGUGUGCCAUUAAAAUUCAACUCUGAAAGCUGCGCUCUCAGGUUUCUGCGAAGGGAAAAGAUUCUGCCGUGGACCAGCCUGGCCCCACCUGGCAGAGGGUGCACCGGACAGUCCGGUGCACACCGGACAGUCCGGUGCCCCAAAGCCAGAAACACUAACUCUUGUUUUUCAGCUGAUUUUCAAAUCGGUUUUCGCUCUAACUUGUGUGUGAGUUCUAGAGUGACACCUAGCACUGUAUAUGAGUGUGAUUGUGCACCAACACUACACUAGAACUCUCUUGGUCAAACUACUCAUCGACAACCCCUCUUUAUAGUACGGCUAAAAGAGAAUAAAAGACCUAACUAAAUCGCGAGUGUCCACAUCUCCUUGACACUCGGACUCUGUAGACCUUCACCUUUUGUUCCGUCGUUUUAGACGUUGCUUCGAGUUCUUAUCUCCGGGAUUGUUUUCACCGUUGUAGUACUUCUACCUGUCAUGCGACCUAACUUACCAUUUGUCUCUGCAAAACACACGUUAGUCACAUAUAAUAUUACGUUGUCAUUAAUCACUAAAACCAACCAGGGGCCUAGAUGCUUUCAAUCUCCCCCUUUUUGGUGAUUGAUGACAACCCUACAAGUUUUGUGAGAGUAGUUUGUUUUGAAGAUUCUGUCAAUAGAAAGAAUGGUUAGUUAUACUCAGUAAUCUUUGACAGAAGGAAUGUGUACCAUAAUAAUAAGAGUGAGCGCAUACACAUCAUAAGAUUCUUGUUCAUAUAAAAGUGAAGUUAAAUUAAUGAAACAAGAGCUAGAAGACUGGUGAUAAAAUAUAAGGUGAAAACAUAAUACACACAGUCAAUCAUACGCAACGAGAGUAUAUGACGAGUUUGUGAGCCAAAAACAUCAAGCUUGUACAGAGAGUAGCAAGCACAUAUAUUACAUCAAAAUGACUCUGACUCUCUACUAACUCUCUAACUCCCCCUAGCUCUCACAACUCAUAUCUCUCCCCCUUUGGCGUCAAACACCAAAAGGGACCUGAACCUAAACGUCCGAAGCAGGAGGAGGCGGCGGGGGCGCAUCCGGUCGAGGUCGAGGUCGAGGUAGCAGAGCGAACGCCGGUGGAGGGUCAGAGUCAGUCUCGGAUCCAGGAUCUGCGGUAGAAGCUGGAGCUGGUACUGACUCGGACUGAGGCCGCGCUGCAGGAGCUACCGGAACAGAAGCGGUCACAGAUAUUGCCACAGCGGUAGUGGUAACAGCAGAUGCUGGUGGCACUGGCGGCUGCAGACAGACAGAGCUGAGAACCGGAGAGGUGAACGCCAAAGUGACCGGCCGGAGCGGAGAGGUACCAACAGGGGGUCCUGACAAAAUCGAUGGCACCACUGGAGCGUGAAGUGGAGGAGGUGGAGCAGACUGAACCGGAGCUGCUGAGAUACCAGAAUGCUGAAGCAUAAGGGCCAUGAAUGCCCUACUCUCAGCCCGAUCCUGAAGUAGCUGCUGCUGAAGUGCAUCUUGCCUGUCCUACAUGCUCUGAAACAUCGAGAGCAUCGUCUCGGAUAACCGGGCCUGCUCGGCUGCCAGGUUGGCCAGAAUCGUCGCAAGAGCAGGGUCCAUAGCCGGAGGAGGAGCAGGGGCAGCACGAGAACUCCCAGCCUCAUGAUCAUGUGAGCGUGGAGGCAUAGGAGGCGGAGGCGGAACCCCAAAAUCAUCAUCAUCAUUGUAAGGAAAAUGGACCCCGGGCCAUUUGGCUAAUUGAGUUUUGGUGUUUGAUGAACAACACAAUCCGUGAACUAAUAAGUUUUCUAGUGUUUGUGUUUGUAGUUCACAUGAUGCGAAGAGAAUUGGACCAAGGCAAUGAGGAUGCAACACCUCAAAAGAAGACAUAAAAAGAUGCAUAGGAGUCCAAUACUCAAGAACAAAGAAGCCCGAAGAAAUCAGCGAAGAAAUCCAAGAUAAGGGCGGUCAGCCAGCGCCUGGUGACGCACCGGACAUUGGUGUCCGGUGUGCACCGGACUGUUCGAUGAGGCACCGGACAGUCUGCGCAGAGAGGCCGCAGACAGGCGCUCUCUGGCUGUAGCACCGGACUGUCCGGUGUGCACCGGACUGUCCGGUGUGCCAACGGGCAGACGGCAACGGUCAGAUCCAACGGUCGACUGCUACAGGCGCCAACGGUCGGCUGACGUGGCGUGCACCGGACAUCUACUGUGCAGUGUCAGGUGGUGCACCGGACUGUCCGGUGCACCCGACGACAGAAAGCUGCUGCUUUCUGUCCAACGGCUAGUUUGGGGUGUGGAGGCUAUAAAUACCACCCCAACCGGCCAUUCUCAAGGGUGGGAGCCCAAGCAACAUACCAAGGCAUAUUGUAGACAUUUCCAAGUGCUCAAACACCCAAGUGCUUAAUAGAAUCACUCGGUGAUUAGCGUAGGUGCUUUGCGAAGUGCUUAGGUUAGUUAGACCGCAUUAGCGCUUGCUCUAGGUGAAUCCUAGUUUGUUGAGUGAGUUUAGACAAACCACAAUCCCUCGGCUCUUGCGUGGGCCAUUGUAAUUGUACCGAGUGGGGCGAGAGUCUUGCGAGACCGUGACAACCGCGUUUGUGUCACGGCCGCCACCGUGUACCGGAGGGAACGAGGCCCGCGGCAUUUCGGCCGGAAGCUCGAUAGUGGAGACGGCGGGGAGCGUCCGAGAGGAGCCGGAAGCGGAGCACCACUGGCGCGUGGAGAAGGCCCGCGGCUCUCUAUGGAGUUACUCGACCGUGGUGCUUGGCCCUCGCGUGGGCUUCCCUUUGCGUAGGGGCACCAACGAGGAUUAGUCGGGACCUUGCGUGGUUCCGGAUACCUCGGUAAAAAUACCGGCGUCUUCCACGAGAGUUUGCUUCUCUACUUAGCUCUUUACAUUCCGCAUUUAUAUUAAGCAUUUAAGUUUCAAUCUUAUUGUCAUACUUAUUUAGUGUAGAUUGAAACUUAGCCUUUGCGGUAGAGAUAGCAACACUUAGACAAAACCGAGUUUGCACAUUCUAGUUUUGAUUAUUUGCACAGGUUUUGCUCUAGGGAUUUAAUUGUGGCCUAGUUUAGUAAAAGUUUUAGAAGUCCUAAUUCACCCCCCCCCCCCUCUUAGGCGUCACCCGUUUCCUACAAGUGGUAUCAGAACCCGGUUUGGCUCAUUUGAAACGCUUUAGCUUCACCGCUAAAAAGAGCCGACGCUUUUUAGAGGAAGGGAUGGAUACCCAUAGGCCACCACACUUCGACGGCACUAACUUCCCAUAUUAUAGUGCUAGAAUGGCUUGUUACCUAGAGGCCGUUGAUCUAGGUGUUUGGAGAGUCACUCGUGACGGGAUGAAACCUCUCAAGAAUCCCGAGAAACCCACCACAAGUGAGGAAAAAGAAAUUCAUUUAAAUGCUAGAGCCAAAAAUUGCUUGUAUGAAUCUCUUAGCAUGGAUAUUUUUAAUCAAGUAUUUACCUUGAGAACUGCUAAUGAGAUUUGGCUAAAAUUGCAUGAGCUCCAUGAUGGCACAUCCAAUGUCCGUGAGCAAAAACAUUGCCUAGUCUUGAAUGAGUAUAAUUCUUUUGCUAUGAAAGAUGAUGAGCUUGUUAGAGACAUGUAUUCUCGUUUGAAUCUAAUUAUCAAUGAGCUCAAUUCUAUUGGCAUUAAUAAGCUAGGUGAUGCGGACAUUGUGAGGAAGAUUAUCUCCCUGCUACCACAACAAAGAUAUGGGAGCAUCAUCACCAUCCUUCACAACAUGGAGGAUUUGAGCAACAUGACCCCGACCAUUGUGAUUGGGAAAAUUGCAGCCUUUGAGAUGUCGCGAAAAAUGAGUCGGGGAGAGGAGCCAACUUCCUCAAGGCCAUAUGCUUUUGCAUGUGAUGAAAGGAAGGGCAAAAAGAAGGCUCCCACUCCAAGUUCCUCAAGUGAAGAAGAGGAAGAAGAAGAAAGUGAUGAUGAUGAAGAUAAUCAACCAUGCACAUCAUCCUCCGAGGACGAAGAAACAAUUCGACGCGUCGGAAAGGUAAUGAGGAUGAUCCGCAAGAUUAAUCUAAUGGGUGUGCCCCUGCAGGUCGAGGAUCUUCUCUUUAACAUUGACAGGAAAAAGCAAAGGAAGAGAGGAUGCUUCGCAUGUGGGGAGAAGGGCCACUUCAGGGACAACUGUCCAAAUAUGGCCAAGCCCAAAAAGGAGAGGAGCAAAGGCAAGGCGCUAACAAGUGUUAGAACUUGGGAUGAUUCUUCAAGUGAAGAUGAACCUCCAAGGACGCGCAGCCACCGGUCCUCGUCAUGAUCAUCACGGUCAUCACACAAAUGCCUUAUGGCAAGAGGUAACAAAAGCAUUCCAUCCUCUAGUGAUGAAAGUAGUAGUGAUGAUGAAGGUGAGGGAAAGCCCUCUCUAGAUGAGCUUGCGGAAGUGAAAGGGAAAUGUGCCCUUGGGCCAUUUCUAAGUAUUUUGGUGAUUGGGUGUCAACACAAGUGCUUAAAUGUGAAUCAAUGCCCAUAGAUGAACAAAGUGAAAAUCUAGAGCAAAGGUAUGUUUCUAAGUCUUAGUACAUUGGUUUUGUGUACUAAUAUAUUUGUCUAAGUGUUAGAAACAGAAAGAAGAAGAGAAGAGAAGACUUGGCUGUGUACAGCCAAGAGGCUGUUUCGGUCUGGGGCACCGGACUGUCCGGUGGUGCACCGGACAGUGUCCGGUGCGCCAGGCUGCCCCGGCCGAAGAGGCCGCUCUCGGGAAUUCGCCGACGGCGUACGGCUAAAAUUCACCGGACUGUCCGGUGUACACCGGACUGUCCGGUGAGCCAACGGUCGGCCGGGCCAACGGUCGGCCGCGCGAUCUGCGCGGGACACGUGGCCGAGCCAACGGUCGGGAAGGGGCACCGGACUGUCCGGUGUGCACCGGACAUGUCCGGUGCGCCAACGGCUCCCGCAUCUGCAACGGUCGACUGUGCUGUUUAAGGAAGGAAAUCGGGCACCGGACAGUGUCCGGUGUGCACCGGACUGUCCGGUGCGCCCGACGACAGAAGGCAAGAUCAGCCUUCCAGAUUUGCUCUCAACGGCUCCUAGCUGCCUUGGGGCUAUAAAAGGGACCCCUAGGCGCAUGGAGGAGAAAUCCAAGCAACCUUUGAGCAUUCUUGAUCAUCCACACUCAGUCUUUGCGCAUCCGUUUGUUAUUCUAAGUGAUUCGAGCUCCGUUCUUGUGAGAACUGUGAGAUAGUCUUUGAGCUCAAUUCUUGGCCGUGUGUGUGCGCAUUUUGCUGUGGAUUUGUGUGUGUUGCUUCCCUCCCUUACUCCGUAUUUCUUUGUGAAUCUCAAGUAUAAGGGCGAGAGACUCCAAGUUGUGGAGAUUCCUUGCAAACGGGAAAUUGAAAGGAAAAGCAUAACACUGUGGUAUUCAAGUUGAUCAUUGGAUCACUUGAGAGGAGUUGAGUGCAACUCUCGUCCGUUGGGACGCCACAACGUGGAGUAGGCAAGUUUUGUACUUGGCCGAACCACGGGAUAAAUCACUGUGUCUUCUCUGUGUUGAACUUCUUGUGGUUAUCAUAUUGUGCAAGAUCUUCUCUUUAGCCACUUGGCAUUAACUGUGCUAACGCUUAAUCAAAGUUUUGUGGCUUAAGUUUUGAAGUAUACAGGAUCACCUAUUCACCCCCCCCCCCUCUAGGUGCUCUCAAUUGGUAUCAGAGCCGUUCUCUUCACAAAGGGACUUACCGCCCGAAGAGAUGGAUCCUAAGGGGAAGGGAAUCGUGAUCAACGACAAAGAGAAGGAAUCCUUCGUCAACGAGCCGAAGGACGACAAGCCUACCGACUCCGGCUCGGGGCAUAGACGGAAGGAAGGGAAGAAGAAGAAGACAAGGCGCAUCAAGGAGAUCAUCUACUACGACGAUAGUGAUGAGUCUACUUCUUCCCAAAAGGAUGAUGACAACGACUACAAAAAGACGGUCAAUUCGAACUUUUCAUUUGAUUAUUCUCGUAUUCAACAUAGUUCGAAUUCGCAUUUGCUUUCCAUUCCUCUUGGCAAACCUCCACACUUCGAUGGGGAGGACUACGGAUUUUGGAGUCACAAAAUGCGUAGUCACUUAUUCUCUCUCCAUCCAAGCAUAUGGGAGAUUGUGGAGAAUGGAAUGAAAUUUGAUAGCUCGGAUAGUCCUAUGCUUAUAAAUGAACAAAUUCAUAGAAAUGCACAAGCUACUACUGUUCUCUUAGCAUCUUUGUGCAGGGAAGAGUACAAUAAGGUGAGCGGCUUGGACAAUGCCAAGCAGAUAUGGGAUACCCUCAAGAUCUCUCACGAGGGGAACGACAUCACCAUGCUCACCAAGAUGGAGUUGGUGGAGGGCGAGCUUGGACGAUUCGCCAUGAUAAGGGGAGAGGAGCCAACUCAAACUUACAACCGGCUCAAGACCCUUAUCAACAAAAUAAGGAGCUACGGAAGCACGCGUUGGACGGACCACGACGUCGUCCGCCUAAUGCUCAGGUCCUUUACCGUUCUUGAUCCUCAUCUCGUGAACAAUAUUCGUGAGAAUCCCAGGUACACGAUGAUGACGCCCGAGGAAGUACUUGGAAAAUUCGUGAGCGGGCGGAUGAUGAUCAAGGAGGCAAGGUACGUCGACGACGCGUUGAACGGUCCACUCCACGAGCCUCAACCCAUUGCUCUAAAGGCAACAAGGAGCAAGGAGUCGCUACCUAGCAAGGUGGCGCAAGUUGAGGCGGCCGGGCUCAAUGAUGAAGAGAUGGCUCUCAUCAUCAAGAGAUUCAAGACGGCGCUAAAAGGUCGAAAGGGACAGCCAAGCAAGGCCAAGACCAAGGGAAAGCGAUCAUGCUUCAAAUGCGGUAAGCUUGGUCAUUUUAUUGCUAACUGUCCCGAAAAUGAUAGUGACCAGGAGCAAGGGAAAAAUGGGAAGAAAGAGAACAAGAAGGCUUACAAGAAGGCCAAAGGCGAAGCACACCUUGGAAAGGAGUGGGAUUCGGAUUGCUCUUCGUCCGACUCCGACGACGAAGGACUCGCCGCCACUGCCUUCAACAAAUCGGCUCUCUUCCCCAACGAGCAUCACACUUGCCUCAUGGCAAGGGAAAAGAAGGUAAUCACUCAUAAUGCUAAUACUUAUGAUUCUUCUAGUGAUGAUGAAUCUAGUGAAGAUGAAAUUGAUUACUCUAGUUUAUUCAAGGGAUUGGAUAGAACUAAGAUAGCUAAGAUUAAUGAGUUGAUUGAUGCCUUAAAUGAAAAGGAUAGAAUCUUAGAGAAACAAGAAGACCUUUUAUAUGAAGAACAUGAUAAAUUUGUUAGUGCACAAAAUUCACUUGCUCUAGAAGUUAAAAGAAAUGGAAUACUUUCUUGUGAACUUUCUACUUGUAAUGAAACCAUUUCUUCUUUAAAAGGUGAAAUUAAUGUUUUAACUGCUAAACUAGAAGUAGCAAGUAACUCGUGUGUUGAAAAUAUUACAAUUUGCACUAGGUGUAAGGAUUUUGAUGUUAAUGCUUGUAGUGAACACUUAGUUUCAAUUUCAAAACUAAAUGAUGAGGUGGCUAGUCUUAAUGCUCAACUUAAGACUAGCAAGAGUGAAGUUGAUAAAAUAAAAUUUGCAAGGGAUGCCUACACAGUUGGUAGACACCCCUCAAUUAAGGAUGGUCUUGGCUUCAAGAGAGAGGCCAAGAACUUAACAAGCCAUAAGGCUCCCAUCUUCGUCAAGGAGAAAGGGAAGGCCCCUAUGGCUAGUAGUGCUAAAAGGAACCAUGCUUUCUUGUACCAUGAUAGGAGACAUGCUAGAAAUGCUUAUAAUGAUUUUGAUUCACAUGUUUAUGAUUCUCAUGCCAUGUUUGCUUCUAGUUCUUCCUAUAAGCAUGAUAGAGAUAUGUGUAAGAGAAAUGUUAUGCAUAUGCCUAGGAGAAAUUUUGCUCAUAUUCCUAGAAAAAUUGUGAACAAACCUUCCACCAUUUAUUAUGCUUGCAAUGCUCCCUUUGCUAUUUGUAGAAAGGGUAAGAAGGUAAUUGCUAGGAAGUUAGGGGCAAAAUGCAAGGGAGACAAAACUUGCAUUUGGGUCCCUAAGGAAAUUUGCACUAACCUUGUAGGACCCAACAAGAGUUGGGUACCUAAGUCCCAAGCCUAAAUUUGCCUUGCAGGUUUAUGCAUCCGGGGGUUCAAGCUGGAUUAUCGACAGCGGAUGCACAAACCAUAUGACGGGGGAGAAGAAGAUGUUCACUUCCUACGUCAAGAAUAAGGAUUCCCAAGAUUCAAUUAUAUUCGGUGAUGGGAAUCAAGGCAAGGUAAAAGGGUUAGGUAAAAUUGCAAUUUCUAAUGAGCAUUCUAUCUCUAAUGUAUUUUUAGUAGAGAGUCUUGGAUAUAAUUUGCUAUCUGUUAGUCAAUUAUGUCAUAUGGGGUAUAACUGUCUAUUUACAAAUGUAGAUGUGUCUGUCUUUAGAAGAAGUGAUGGUUCACUAGCUUUUAAGGGUGUAUUAGACGGCAAACUUUAUUUAGUUGAUUUUGCAAAAGAAGAGGCCGGUCUAGAUGCAUGCUUAAUAGCUAAGACUAGCAUGGGCUGGCUGUGGCAUCGCCGCUUAGCACAUGUGGGAAUGAAGAACCUUCACAAGCUUCUAAAGGGAGAACACGUGAUAGGUUUGACUAACGUGCAUUUCGAAAAAGAUAGACCUUGUGCAGCUUGUCAAGCAGGUAAACAAGUGGGAGGAGCACAUCACAGCAAGAAUAUGAUGACCACUUCAAGACCUCUGGAGCUGCUGCAUAUGGACCUCUUCGGACCCGUCGCCUAUCUGAGCAUAGGAGGGAGUAAGUAUGGUUUAGUUAUUGUUGAUGACUUUUCCCGCUUCACUUGGGUGUUCUUUUUGCAGGAUAAGUCUGAAACCCAAGGGACCCUCAAGCGCUUCCUCAGGAGAGCUCAAAAUGAGUUUGAGCUCAAGGUGAAGAAGAUAAGAAGCGACAACGGGUCCGAGUUCAAGAACCUUCAAGUGGAGGAGUUCCUUGAGGAGGAAGGGAUCAAGCACGAGUUCUCCGCUCCCUAUACACCACAGCAAAAUGGUGUGGUAGAGAGGAAGAACAGGACGCUAAUCGACAUGGCGAGGACUAUGCUUGGAGAGUUCAAGACCCCCGAGCGUUUUUGGUCGGAAGCCGUGAACACGGCUUGCCACGCCAUCAACAGGGUCUACCUUCACCGCCUCCUCAAGAAGACGUCAUAUGAGCUUCUAACCGGUAACAAACCCAAUGUAUCGUACUUUCAUGUAUUUGGGAGCAAGUGCUACAUUCUAGUGAAGAAGGGUAGAAAUUCAAAAUUUGCUCCCAAAGCUGUAGAAGGGUUUUUGUUAGGUUAUGACUCAAAUACAAAGGCGUAUAGAGUCUUCAACAAAUCAUCGGGUUUGGUUGAAGUUUCUAGCGACGUUGUAUUUGAUGAGACUAAUGGCUCUCCAAGAGAGCAAGUUGUUGAUUGUGAUGAUGUAGAUGAAGAAGAUGUUCCGACGGCCGCUAUACGAACCAUGGCAAUUGGAGAAGUGCGGCCACAGGAACAAGAUGAACGAGAUCAAACAUCUUCCCCAACUAUGGUGCUACCCCCAACUCAAGACGAUGAACAGGUUCAUCAACAGAAGGCGUGUGAUCAAGGGGGAGCACAAGAUGAUCUUGUGAUGGAGGAAGAUGCGCAACCAGCACCUCCAACCCAAGUUCGAGCAAUGAUUCAAAGGGAUCAUCCCGUCGACCAAAUUCUGGGUGACAUUAGCAAGGGAGUAACUACUCGAUCUCGAUUAGUUAAUUUUUGCGAGCAUUACUCCUUUGUCUCUUCUAUUGAGCCUUUCAGGGUAGAGGAGGCCUUGCUAGAUCCGGACUGGGUGUUGGCCAUGCAGGAGGAGCUCAACAACUUCAAACGCAAUGAAGUUUGGACACUGGUGCCUCGUCCCAAGCAAAAUGUUGUGGGAACCAAGUGGGUGUUUCGCAACAAACAAGACGAGCACGGGGUGGUGACAAGGAACAAGGCCAGACUUGUGGCAAAAGGUUAUGCCCAAGUCGCAGGUUUGGACUUUGAGGAGACCUUUGCUCCUGUGGCUAGGCUAGAGUCUAUUCGUAUCUUGCUAGCAUAUGCCGCUCACCACUCUUUCAGGUUGUUCCAAAUGGAUGUGAAGAGCGCUUUCCUCAACGGACCGAUCAAGGAGGAGGUAUACGUGGAGCAACCCCCUGGCUUCGAGGAUGAACGGUACCCCGACCACGUAUGUAAGCUCUCUAAGGCGCUCUAUGGACUUAAGCAAGCCCCAAGAGCAUGGUAUGAAUGCCUUAGAGAUUUCUUAAUUGCUAAUGCUUUCAAGGUUGGGAAAGCCGAUCCAACUCUUUUUACUAAGACUUGUAAUGGUGAUUUGUUUGUGUGCCAAAUAUAUGUCGAUGACAUAAUAUUUGGUUCGACUAACCAAAAGUCUUGUGAAGAGUUUAGCAGGGUGAUGAUGCAGAAAUUCGAGAUGUCGAUGAUGGGCGAGUUGAACUACUUCCUUGGGUUCCAAGUGAAGCAACUCAAGGACGGCACUUUCAUCUCCCAAACGAAGUACACGCAAGACUUGCUAAAGAGGUUUGGGAUGAAGGACGCCAAGCCCGCAAAGACGCCGAUGGGAACCGACGGACACACAGACCUCAACAAAGGAGGUAAGUCCGUUGAUCAAAAAGCAUACCGGUCAAUGAUAGGUUCUUUGCUUUAUUUAUGUGCUAGUAGACCGGAUAUUAUGCUUAGCGUAUGCAUGUGUGCUAGAUUUCAAUCCGAUCCUAAGGAGUGUCACUUAGUGGCGGUGAAGCGAAUUCUUAGAUAUUUAGUUGCUACGCCUUGCUUCGGGCUCUGGUAUCCAAAGGGGUCUACCUUUGACUUGGUUGGAUACUCAGACUCCGACUAUGCUGGAUGUAAGGUCGAUAGGAAAAGUACAUCAGGGACGUGCCAAUUCUUAGGAAGGUCCCUGGUGUCAUGGAAUUCUAAGAAACAAACCUCUGUUGCCCUAUCCACCGCUGAGGCCGAGUACGUUGCCGCAGGUCAGUGUUGCGCGCAACUACUUUGGAUGAGGCAAACCCUCCGGGACUUUGGCUACAAUCUGAGCAAAGUCCCACUCCUAUGUGACAAUGAGAGUGCUAUCCGCAUGGCGGAAAAUCCUGUUGAGCACAGCCGCACAAAGCACAUAGACAUCCGGCAUCACUUUUUGAGAGACCACCAGCAAAAGGGAGAUAUCGAAGUGUUUCAUGUUAGCACCGAGAACCAGCUAGCCGAUAUCUUCACUAAGCCUCUAGAUGAGAAGACCUUUUGCAGGUUGCGUAGUGAGCUAAAUGUCUUAGAUUCGCGGAACUUGGAUUGAAUUAUAGCAUACAUGUGUUUAUGCCCUUGAUCAGGUUCAUUCUGCAUUUUGUUGCUUAUUGUGGUGCUCAAGUUGUACAAACACUCCCUGGACCUCACAAGUCCGUUGCAAAGUGCUGCACAUGUUUAGGGGGAGAUGUGCUACAACUUGACCCUUUCGAGACUAACCAUGUGCUUGAGUUUGAUGAUUUAGUCUCGAAGGAGAAUUGAAAGGGAAAAGGUGGACUUGGAUCAUGAAAGACUUCCACUGCACUCCGAUGAGAGGGUAACUUAUUCCAAGUUCAUCUUUAGACUCUUAUUGCCUUUGUAUUCUUAUUGAAGAUUUUGGUGAGGCAAUGGGGUUAAAGGGCCAAGAUUGAUCCCGUUUUGGUGCUUGAUGCCAAAGGGGGAGAAAAUAAAGGCCAAAGUGAUAAAUGGAUCAGCUACCACUUGAGAGAUUUUGAAAAUAGUAGAAUAGAGUUUUUGUUUUGUUAAACUCUUUUAUUGUCUCUCUUGUCAAAAGUUGGCUUCGUGUGGGGAGAAAUGUUGAUUAUGGGAAAUAGGGGGAGUUUUUGAAAUCUUUGAUCAAUCUCUUUUGGAAUGACUCUCUUUAUGCCUCAAUAUGUGUGUUUGACAUAGAGAUAGAGAUUUGAGUUUGAUUUGCAAAAACAAACCAAGUGGUGGCAAAGGAUGAUCCAUAUAUGCCAAAAUUGAAUCAAAAUCAAUUUGAGUUUUAUUUGAAGUGAUUUUGCACUUGUUCUAGUUGCUUUAUGUUGUGUUGGCAUAAAUCACCAAAAAGGGGGAGAUUGAAAGGGAAAUGUGCCCUUGGGCCAUUUCUAAGUAUUUUGGUGAUUGGGUGUCAACACAAGUGCUUAAAUGUGAAUCAAUGCCCAUGGAUGAACAAAGUGAAAAUCUAGAGCAAAGGUAUGUUUCUAAGUCUUAGUACAUUGGUUUUGUGUACUAAUAUAUUUGUCUAAGUGUUAGAAACAGAAAGAAGAAGAGAAGAGAAGACUUGGCUGUGUACAGCCAAGAGGCUGUUUCGGUCUGGGGCACCGGACUGUCCGGUGGUGCACCGGACAGUGUCCGGUGCGCCAGGCUGCCCCGGCCGAAGAGGCCGCUCUCGGGAAUUCGCCGACGGCGUACGGCUAAAAUUCACCGGACUGUCCGGUGUACACCGGACUGUCCGGUGAGCCAACGGUCGGCCGGGCCAACGGUCGGCCGCGCGAUCUGCGCGGGACACGUGGCCGAGCCAACGGUCGGGAAGGGGCACCGGACUGUCCGGUGCGCCAACGGCUCCCGCAUCUGCAACGGUCGACUGUGCUGUUUAAGGAAGGAAAUCGGGCACCGGACAGUGUCCGGUGUGCACCGGACUGUCCGGUGCGCCCGACGACAGAAGGCAAGAUCAGCCUUCCAGAUUUGCUCUCAACGGCUCCUAGCUGCCUUGGGGCUAUAAAAGGGACCCCUAGGCGCAUGGAGGAGAAAUCCAAGCAACCUUUGAGCAUUCUUGAUCAUCCACACUCAGUCUUUGCGCAUCCGUUUGUUAUUCUAAGUGAUUCGAGCUCCGUUCUUGUGAGAACUGUGAGAUAGUCUUUGAGCUCGAUUCUUGGCCGUGUGUGUGCGCAUUUUGCUGUGGAUUUGUGUGUGUUGCUUCCCUCCCUUACUCCGUAUUUCUUUGUGAAUCUCAAGUAUAAGGGCGAGAGACUCCAAGUUGUGGAGAUUCCUUGCAAACGGGAAAUUGAAAGGAAAAGCAUAACACUGUGGUAUUCAAGUUGAUCAUUGGAUCACUUGAGAGGAGUUGAGUGCAACUCUCGUCCGUUGGGACGCCACAACGUGGAGUAGGCAAGUUUUGUACUUGGCCGAACCACGGGAUAAAUCACUGUGUCUUCUCUGUGUUGAACUUCUUGUGGUUAUCAUAUUGUGCAAGAUCUUCUCUUUAGCCACUUGGCAUUAACUGUGCUAACGCUUAAUCAAAGUUUUGUGGCUUAAGUUUUGAAGUAUACAGGAUCACCUAUUCACCCCCCCCUCUAGGUGCUCUCAGGAAGCCGUAGAAUUUUUCCAGGAUGUUUGCACUAAGCAAAAAGCUCAACUUAAAACUUUGAAAAAUAAGUUGGUUAGCUCUCAAAAUGAUUACAAAGGUUUGCUAGAAAAAUUUGAAACUUUUGCAAACUUAAAUAGUGAGCUAUCAACUAAAAUUGAGCUAUUAGAAUCUAGUGCUCCAUCCACUGCUACCGAUGAUAGCCUUAUUAAAAAGAAUGAAAAACUUAAGGCUAAGUUAGCUAGCUCCCAAGAAGCUAUUGAAAAUUUGCUAGAGAAAAUGGAAAUUCUUAGCAUACACAACAAUGAGCUAACUACUAAGCUAGAAAACAUUGGUAGCACCCCAGCAGCAUCUUUAGUUGAAAUACCUGAAAUAAUUAAGAAAGAUGCUUCUACUUCCUGCUUUGAUUUAAUUGAUGAUUCUAACCCCUGCAACCAAGUCGUUGUUGAGAAUAUUGUUGUAGAGACAUGUACGGAUGAGGUUGCAAAGGAAAAUGAACAAUUAAAGCAAGAAGUGGCUCGCCUUGGCAAGGCUUUGUAUGACAAGAAAGGCAAAGCCAAACAAAUCCAACCUCCACAGGAUAACACCACUGCGGGAGUGAACAAGCCUAUGGAGGGAGAAACUGUGAUUUGUAGGCUAUGCCACAAGGAAGGCCACAAGUCUUUCCAAUGCAAGGCGAUGACCGGGGAUAAACAAAGACAAAAGCUCAAGCAAAAGCCAUCAAGCAAAAUCUCAAACACCUACAUCAAAAAGGUGAACAAAAAGGAUGCUACACCAUAUUUGAUCAAGAAGAAAAAUAACGGAAAGGUGAUAGCAAUCAAGGCCAACAAGCAAGCCAACAAAGGAAAGAGGGCCAAACGCAUCUGGGUGCCAAAGGAGAUAAUUUCAACCAUGAAAAGCAUCAAGAAGGUUUGGAUCCCGAAAGGGAAGUGAGUGGACCGAAGGUCCUCGGGAAAUUUGGAGACUUGGCUAAAUUGGGAUGUAUAUCAUGGGAUACAUCAUAUUGGAUCAAGUUUAUUGCCAAGUGGGUUAGUGAAAAUUUUGGACCCAAAUUUCCCACCCAUGACUAAGGUAACUAGUUUUAUUGUAUUUCUCGUUUUUAGAUAUGCGUAUCUAUUUAUCUUUUAUCUAGUUUACCUUUCUUGCCUAGUAUUACAUUUGUUAUGUACUUUUGUUCAAAAUCAUGCAUACUAGGUAAAUCAUAUGGUAGGAUUGCUAGUUUUUAAAUUCAUAUAAUUAAGCAAACCUACAUGGCUUAAAAUGUUUAGUUAAAGCACGACACAUAGCUUUUAUAUCACUCCAUAGUAAAUGAUGCAUCAAUUGAAAAUUUUGAUUUCUACAAAGUGUAUCAUUUAACUUAUAUGUGCCAAAGUUUGGAUUAUGGAUAAUUUGCCCCUCUUGAUAUCAAAUCAAAGUGCAUGUCUCCUACAAGUAUUCAAAACUUGUAUGCACACCUUUAGGGGGAGGUUACUCUAUAAUCUAACACUUUGAGACUAACACCUUUUCAAGUCUAUUUCAUGUGAUAGUCUCAUUGUAAGGAAAAUGAAGUCCCCGGAGAAAGACAACAAUCUUCCACUGCAAAAUCUCCAAGAACUCUCAUGUCUCUCAAGCUCGCCAUUGACUUUCAAUUGGUAUCUUUUGAGACUAUAUCUAGUACCAUUUACAUGUCUUCUCCAAAAUUUGAUUAGACUAUAUUUCAUAUCAUAUGCUUCCAUGUUGCAAAAAUGCAUAAGUAGUUAACUCAUAUUCUGUUACCUAUGCAUAAGGGAAGUUAGUCUUUUCAAAUCAUGUCUUGCACCUCUAAUUUUCACAUGUCUUUUCCUAAGUAGAGGAUCUCUGUCAGGGGGAGUAUUUCUUCAUCUCUAAAGGGGGAGAAACUUCUUUCUAAAGAGAACACUCAUUUAGGGGGAGUAAUCCUUUCAACUGAUAUCAUUCAUAUUGUUUAUUUUAAUAUCCUUCUAGUGGUAUCAUUUGAUAGAUUUCUUGAUGAGGGCAAGCUUUUAUUUACUUCCUACAUGCUUUUAAUGUCUUCCUUUUCGGUGGUUGAUGCCAAAGGGGGAGAAGUUUAGGGACCAAAGCAAUGAAAACUAUAUCAAACACCAAACACCACCAAUUUAAAAUUUUAUAUCUCCAAAUGACUUUUUCAAGUGGUUUUGGUUAUUUGGUCCAAAAAUAGGAAGUAAGUGAAUUAUGGAGUUAGGGGGAGGCUUAAGUCCAUAAUAUCACAUUGUGGGGACAAUCAUGCAUCUUAGCAAGUAGAUUGCAUAUUUUCACUCAAAUACUUGUAUUAUUUGCUUGCUUUGGUUGUGUUGUCAUCAAUCACCAAAAAGGGGGAGAUUGUAAGGAAAAUGGACCCUGAGCCAUUUGGCUAAUUGAGUUUUGGUGUUUGAUGAACAACACAAUCCGUGAACUAAUAAGUUUUCUAGUGUUUGUGUUUGUAGUUCACAGGAUGCGAAGAGAAUUGGACCAAGGCAAUGAGGAUGCAACACCUCAAAAGAAGACAUAAAAAGAUGCAUAGGAGUCCAAUACUCAAGAACAAAGAAGCCCGAAGAAAUCAGCGAAGAAAUCCAAGAUAAGGGCGGUCAGCCAGCGCCUGGUGACGCACCGGACUGUCCGGUGAGGCACCGGACAGUCUGCGCAGAGAGGCCGCAGACAGGCGCUCUCUGGCUGUAGCACCGGACUGUCCGGUGUGCACCGGACUGUCCGGUGUGCCAACGGGCAGACGGCAACGGUCGGAUCCAACGGUCGACUGCUACAGGCGCCAACGGUCGGCUGACGUGGCGUGCACCGGACAUCUACUGUGCAGUGUCCGGUGGUGCACCGGACUGUCCGGUGCACCCGACGACAGAAAGCUGCUGCUUUCUGUCCAACGGCUAGUUUGGGGUGUGGAGGCUAUAAAUACCACCCCAACCGGCCAUUCUCAAGGGUGGGAGCCCAAGCAACAUACCAAGGCAUAUUGUAGACAUUUCCAAGUGCUCAAACACCCAAGUGCUUAAUAGAAUCACUCGGUGAUUAGCGUAGGUGCUUUGCGAAGUGCUUAGGUUAGUUAGACCGCAUUAGCGCUUGCUCUAGGUGAAUCCUAGUUUGUUGAGUGAGUUUAGACAAACCACAAUCCCUCGGCUCUUGCGUGGGCCAUUGUAAUUGUACCGAGUGGGGCGAGAGUCUUGCGAGACCGUGACAACCGCGUUUGUGUCACGGCCGCCACCGUGUACCGGAGGGAACGAGGCCCGUGGCGUUUCGGCCGGAAGCUCGAUAGUGGAGACGGCGGGGAGCGUCCGAGAGGAGCCAGAAGCGGAGCACCACUGGCGCGUGGAGAAGGCCCGCGGCUCUCUACGGAGUUACUCGACCGUGGUGCUUGGCCCUCGCGUGGGCUUCCCUUUGCGUAGGGGCACCAACGAGGAUUAGUCGGGACCUUGCGUGGUUCCGGAUACCUCGGUAAAAAUACCGGCGUCUUCCACGAGAGUUUGCUUCUCUACUUAGCUCUUUACAUUCCGCAUUUAUAUUAAGCAUUUAAGUUUCAAUCUUAUUGUCAUACUUAUUUAGUGUAGAUUGAAACUUAGCCUUUGCGGUAGAGAUAACAACACUUAGACAAAACCGAGUUUGCACAUUCUAGUUUUGAUUAUUUGCACAGGUUUUGCUCUAGGGAUUUUAUUGUGGCCUAGUUUAGUAAAAGUUUUAGAAGUCCUAAUUCACCCCCCUCUUAGGCGUCACCCGUUUCCUAUAAUCAUCAUCAUCAUCAUCAUCAUCAUCAUCAGCUGUUGUACCCUGAGUGUCAAACUGUCGAAGAGCUGCAUCCUCGGCCUGAGAGUCAAACACAGAAGCAGAAGCUGGCACAGGAAUCUCAGGAGCAGGACGAUAGGAUCCAAAAACUAGGCGAGAGGCCUCAAGGGUGCUCUAAAAUCGAGGGGGCUGAAUCAGCUGCGCAAAGAUGUGGCACAAGUAGUGAGCAUAAGGCAACUGCCGACGAGCACGAAUCCCAUCCAGAACGGUGUCCUCGAUCUCACAAAUCAGGAAGUCCACAACGUCAAACUCAGAGUGGGAGACCAGGGCACCAAGGAGCCAAAGCUGAAUAUGAGUGGUAGCCUCCCUGUAUCCCAUCCUCGGCAGAAGAGUCCGUCUGAUGAGCUCAUAUAAGUACUUUGCUGUUGUAGUAAAGUCUGCUGGUGAACGUCGCGACCCAUCUGUGAAAGGCGGGCAGAACAGAGCCGCGACGUGAGCUGUCCCUGGAGCCACACCGCCGUGAGGGCGACGAGGAAGGUCAGAAGUGCCGUAGCAGAGGCUGUGAAGGCGAGUCGGCGACUCUGGGAAUCCAAAGAGCUGACGGAUCUGACUGGCAGUAAUUGUGACAUCCUCUCGCUCAAAGCGGAACCUCAUCCAGUGAUGAUCCGGGUCAAUCCAAACAGAGGCGUAGAAGACUCGGACCCACUCCUCAACAUAUCUGCCGCUGAUAGUCAGAAGGGUCUGAAGGCCAGGCAGAUAGGUGAGAUGCGCCUUAGAGUCAGCACCGGCUGCAAGCAGAAAGGCUGGAAGAUCCAAAAGCCGGUGCACUCGCAGAGCUAUCUGAGCAGACAUCUGAGCUCUGAAGAAUGACUCCUGAAUCCGUGUGCUGAAAAGAUCACCUGCUGCAGGGUCUCUCUGAGCUGGUAGCCAAGACUCCACGGGUACGUACCUGAACCGACGUACCCGUGCCGCAGUAGCACGCUGAAGAUCAAACAGACGAGGAUCCGAAACCAGAGGACGGACCUCAGUCUCAUCACGCUCCCGGAAUCGAGGUGGAGGGACAGGAGGAGCUGAAGCGGGAGCGGGAGCAGGGGAAGCAGUGGAAGCUGGCGUAGAGGAGGUAGUGGGUAUGGCUGUGGAGGUGGAUGGAGCAAUAGGAGUGACGGGAGCAGGCAGAGUGGGUGGCGGAGUGGAAGCGGAGGUGUGAGAGGAGGAGCGAGGCCGGGAGGUGAGACGACGAGCACGGAAUGCAAUCUGAUCGGAUGGAGUCUGUGGCUGAUCUCCAAGUGCGGCCUGCGCAGCGGCUGCUGCAGCUGCUGCCGCUGCACGGGCUUCUCUGUCCGUACGCCGCUUCUUGCGGCCUUCCUGCAGCUCUAAGUAAACAGUCUUGCCCUUGACCUGCCUGAAAGGGUGAGAGCACCUAGAGGGGGGUGAAUAGGUGAUCCUGAAUAACUUAAAAACUUAAGCCACAAAACUUUGAUUAAGCGUUAGCACAGUUAAUGCCACGUGGCUAGAGAGAAGAUCUUGCACAAUACGAUAACCACAAGGAAUUCAACACAGAGAAGACACAGUGAUUUAUCCCGUGGUUCGGCCAAGUACAAAACUUGCCUACUCCACGUUGUGGCGUCCCAAUGGACGAGAGUUGCACUCAACUCCUCUCAAGUGAUCCAAUGAUCAACUUGAAUACCACAGUGUUAUGCUUUUCUUUUCUUAUCGCGUUCGCGAGGAAUCUCCACAACUUGGAGUCUCUCACCCUUACACUUGAAGUUCACAAAGAAGCACGGAGUAAGGGAGGGAAGCAACACACACAAAUCCACAGCAAAAUGCGCACACACACGACCAAGAAUCGAGCUCAAAAGACUAUCUCAAAGUUCUCACUAGAACGGAGCUCGAAUCACUGAGAAUGACAAACGAAUGCGCAAAGACUGAGUGUGGAUGAUCAAGAAUGCUCUAAGGUUGCUUGGUGUUCUCCUCCAUGCGCCUAGGGGUCCCUUUUAUAGUCCCAAGGCAGCUAGGAGCCGUUGAGAACAAAUCUGGAAGGCCAUCCUUGCCUUCUGUCGUCGGGCGCACCGGACAGUCCGGUGCACACCGGACAGUGUCCGGUGCCCGAUUUCCUUCCUUAAAUAGCGGAGCCGACCGUUGGCGGCCUUGGAGCCGUUGGCGCACCGGACAUGUCAGGUGCACACCGGACAGUCCGGUGCCCCCUUCUAGCCGUUGGCUCGGCCACGUGUCCCGCGCAGAUCGUGUGGCCGACCGUUGGCCCGGCCGACCGUUGGCUCACCGGACAGUCCGGUGCACACCGGACAGUCCGGUGAAUUUUAGCCGUACGAUGUCGGCGAAUUCCCGAGAGCGGCCACUUCACACCGAGUCAGCCUGGCGCACCGGACACUGUCCGGUGCACCACCGGACAGUCCGGUGUGCCAGACUGAGCUGAGUCUUGGCUGUACACAGCCAAGCCUUUUUCACCUCUUCUCUUUUCUUCUUCUUUCUAUUUCUAACACUUAGACAAGUAUAUUAGUACACAAAACCAAUGUACUAAGGCUUAGAAACAUACCUUUACUCUUGAUUUGCACUUUGUUCAUCCAUGAACAUAAAUUCUCAUUUAAGCACUUGUGUUGGCACUCAAUCACCAAAAUACUUAGAAAUGACCCAAGGACACAUUUCUCUUUCAAUCUCCCCCUUUUUGGUGAUUUAUGCCAACACAACAUAAAGCAACUAGAACAAGUGCAAAAUCACUCACUACAAGAAACUGGUUAAAGAACGUGGGUGAAAAACCGUCGAACUUAAUGUAAUAAGCCGUCGAACUUACCGUAAGAACGUGGGUUUACCGACGAAUAUAGUCGACGGCGAUUUUUGGACGAACUUAAAGAAGUAAGUUCGACGGCCCCGUCGAAUUUUUUCCCAUAAGUUCGACGGCACCCACGUUCUUAAGGUUAAGUUCGACGGGGUCACGUGGCCGUCGAGCUUAUGUGUCCUGCGUGGAGCUGCUAGAACUGCACAAUAAGUUCGACGGUACCCACGUUCUUAAACUUAAGAACGUGGGUACCCACGUUCUUAACCCUACACGCGUCUGCGAGGACUGCACAAUAAGUUCGACGGCACCCACGUUCUUAACCUUAAGAACAUGGGUACCCACGUUCUUAACCCUUUUCCAGAAAAAAUAAAAAAUACAAAAAUGAAAAAUUAGACACACAUAAUAUCACAUGCAACACAAUAUAUCACAUACAAUACAGAUUUCAAACACAUUGAUAUAUGUUCAUAUCACAAAUUCGCACAAGUCCAAAUAUAUAAGUUCACAAAUUCACAUAAGUCCAAAUACAUAAGCUUGGUUCACGCAAGGGCCAAGUGCACUCUAUAAGUUGGUUCUUUACCACUCCGGUAUGGUGAAUCAUUCACAACCGUGUACAAUUCUGAGUUAGAUCACUCACAAGCUCUCUUGGUGAUUACUGCACUUUUGAUCACAAUCGAUCCAUCUAGAUGAUGUCGAUCACCAAGAGUAAUAAAAAACAAACUAUCACUUAACUUUAACAAGACCAAAGAGAUCAAUGGGUGCUCUAUGCGGUAACGAGGCUGCUAAUCAAGCGAUUUCCAACUACAGUAGCGUCUACUCCUUACAUCCCGAAGAAUUUAGAGAGGCGUACCGGGCCUUCCUCCUCGCUUUCACUGCCUCUGCGCUUGGACUUUGACCGGCUCUUCUUUUCCUUGUUCUCUUUGAUCUCGACCGUGAUCUGGACUUCCUUGAACUCUCAUCGUCGCUGCUUGAAGAUUCUGAAGAUGAGCUGGAACUUGACUCUGAUGAACUUUUGUGCUGUUAAAGAUUUAAAGGUGAGGGCGUCAAACAAAUUUUAAGUAAGCAAAGUACCUAGAACAGAGUUAUCAUAACUAAAUAUAUUUCCAUUAGGUAAAUCGCAACAAUUUCACAAAUAGGCAGCAGGUCAUAAGCUAGAGUAUACCCUUCUCUUUUUACUUCUUUUCUUUGCGUCCUUAUCCUUCCUCUCUGUUUUCAAACUUCUUUUGUCAGAAGAGCCAUAUAAUAGAUGCAAUAUAUUUAUAUUUGAGGAAUGGCAAGUGAUGGAAAUACUCUUUUGUCAGCAAUAUAUUUAUAAUCAUUAAAUCAAGUAAGGUGGUAGCUUGUUGGCCCUUUGGCAAGCGACCAAGAUGUCCUGGUAGUACACCCUUCUGUAGGUUCCCAAAGUAAUUAGCACGGCCUUCAGCUGACCCGUGCAUUAGAGUAGAUGUAGGCCAAGAAAAGUAUGCAGCGCUGCUUUCAGAGUGCUGACCAGCUGAGGCAAUUGGUUGGAGAGGAUAUGGACAAUAAAUAUGAUUGCAUCCGUUCCUCUCCAUAUCCAGACCCGAACCCUCUGACUGUGAUGAACCAGCAUGCGCCUUCCAAAUAUCUGAGGGCAAAAAUGAUCAGAGGCUAGGGUUAGACAAACGGCAAAAGUCCAUAUUAAAAAGCUGUACACAAAACCAAUAUAGAAAAGGAACUUUAAAUAUCAAUAUCACUGUAAUUAGAAGUGCAUAACAGGAAGUGGUUAGAAAAAAUACUUGGGAUUUACAAAUUCAGAAAUGGCGCCAUGUGUUUUCUUGAGCUCCUCAAUAUAUGGUCCAAGCUCCAGUAUCAACUACAAAAGCUCAAUGUCUUUCUUAGUACAACAAAAUAUGCACCUUGAACGUAACAUCAUAUAACAAUGUUGACAGAGUUCUGUCCAGUUUUAAAAGCAGGACAAUCAUUAAUAGACGGUUCAUGGUUCACCCUCAUCCGAAGGGGAAUAUCAAUAAGACAUGUUUUCAGUAUUUGGUGAACCAAGAGCCACAGAUCACUUGCCGUGUCUGAACUCAUGGUAAAUUAUCCCUUUGGAACAAAUAGUUUACCUGGUUUAUAUUUCCAGGAUAUGGAGAAUAGCCUGUCUCGCAAUUUGAAUCUCCAUCAGGAUGUCCAGUUGCACGAAGGAGUGGAUCAAGCUGAUUGUACUCUACGUUGAUGACCAUUGUUCUACCUGAGCACAAUAAUGGAGUUAUGACAAAUUUGACAAAAUCGUACCAUCAGUGGCUAAAAGAAGUGAUGUAUUCUUUUGUUCAAGGUAAAAUAGUCUACAGGAUACUGAAAGUGACCACCCUUUGCUGGUGGACACAAAAGAUGGCCCAGUUUGCUACUAGACAUAUUUGUUCUUCUCAAAUUUGAAUAAUUCUUUUGCUAAAAAACAUCACAACGGCCCACAAUUUUUUUUGUUUAAAACUUAAAAGCCAUGAAAAGCUCAUAUCAAAUGGGUAAACAAUAGUAAAACCUACCAUCGACAUGAGUAAGUUUGGUAAUUCCUCCAAUUGUUUCCUUGGCUUUCCUAGGAACAGCGAGAGAAUUUACAUUGUAACCCUUGGUGGCACUGACACCUAAUGCUGAUGGUAUUGCCUACAAAAUAAUCAAGAAAAUCAAGUUGUUUCUCUGUAAUCAAAGGUCCCAAGCUCAAGAAAGCAGUUGGCCACAAAUAUAUAAGGAACCCUUGGAAAGGUACCAAGAGGUAUCACAAUUUACAACUAGGGGUACCCAUUUUGGUACCUUGGCACUACAAUUUGGUACCUUAGGUACCAGAUUCAUGUAAUAAUUUUGGUACCUCCCUGUACAUUUUCAAGGAUAGUAAAAAUGCUCUAUUUUAAACAAUAAAAUUAUAGCACAGUAGGGAAGCCAGUGUACAAACAUUGAAAAGCAAUCCAUUUGUAUCCUGGAAAAAGAGAACCCACUUCCGUCCUUCAGUCUUCCUAACAAAAAACACAUAGUAUAGUGACAUUAAAUUACUUCACGAUAUAUGGCUGCUAAUUAAGGAAGAAACCUCCAGUGGUGAAUUUUUUAAUUAAUGAGCAUACCAUUGUUCAAGCAAGCCACUUGAAUAAAGAAGAGAAUGAACAUCUCCAUGCCCAUGUGGCUUUGUCUGCCAAGUCACAAAACUGGUACUAAGAAAGGUGGACAGAAACUCCGUGUAUGUGGAAACCAAAUCGUGCUAUAUUCAAAUACAAUGUUACUGAUCCUGGAAUGGAAAUUUCAAACCUGAAUUUUGUACUUGUCGCUUGGGUCUAAUGCAAGCCUUGCAUCAUUGUCAGCUAGACACGCUACUUUUUCCUGAAAAUGGAAGAGAAUGUACAGUCAACACCAAAAGUAGCAGCCAUGUGCUUUGCAUAUAUAAAAGCUACAUUUUUACCAUAACUAUCACAUGAAUAGAACAAGGGAACAGAAGGAACCUGCUUUAGUAUUUUCACUUGAGAUGGUUCCAUUCCAAAGUAGGAGUUUGACUCUAAAAGCUUGAUAGUUAGCGCAUUUGUAUCAUCAGAAGUCAUAAUAACAAAUGGAAUCUUUGUUUGGCACCCCUCUGCAUGGCAGAUGAAUAACAUCAAUCAGAAUAAAGCAAGACCUGAACAUUCUCUAAGACCCAAUAGUAUUACGUGUAAAGAAUGAAACUGGCAAUAAAUCAAGUAAUUGCCAGAUACAGAGGUGCAUAAGACAAAAUAAAAUGAAACCAAGACCUUAAUGGAAAGGUUGAAAUUCAUUUGUAAGCACUAAAACAAUGAUAGGUUCCAGUUCCAUAAAGUACUUGUAAGUCAGUAAGUCACUAAUCAACUAUAGAUAAAUGUAGAGUACAUACCAUCAACCAUUUUGCAGCUGGCCUCUUGAAAAGCCAGGAUAGACUCUAUAUAGAGUUGAAGGAAACAUUUUCCAGUAGUUGUUUCCCGGGGAAGUGCUACCUGACCAAAGAAAGUAACAGAAGCACCAGUGAGAAAUUGAUGAAAAAGACUUACAGAAGGGGUGAAACCAUCAUAUGGGUUUUUGCCUUCCUUUGAAUCCGCAAGAAGUUUUUUGGCAUUCUGGAUGUAAGAUACCAGACCUCCAGGAUAGCUUGAAUUAAGUCGGCGAACCUAAGAUAAUAGCACAAAAUUAGAAUAAAAGGGAAAAAAACUUUAUACAUUUGUGCUUAUGAAUUCCUUGCAUAUAUUAUAGUGCUACUCCAUUGACAAACAAGAGACAUCUUGGACAUCGGAACGUCUUCAUAACAUAAUUUUACUAACAAUUUUGUUAUAAAACAUUUGUAGAACAUAGAAAAUGAACAGACCUUGUGGCAGCGGUGGUAGUCGUGGCACUUGCGGUCGACGGAGCACUCCGCCCAGCUCCCCCACUCCCGGGACGACGACGCAGCAUCAGACGAGCGAAUCGAGAAGUGGUGUAGCUUCUUCACGCCGCCCGUCGUCGAUGCUGGUGGUCUUCGAGGCAAGCAAAUCGGUGUUGUUGUCGACCUCAAAAACCACCACCAGCAGAUCCCUGUCCCGCACAUCUGCUCGCCGCCCAGCGAACUUGGUGCCACUCGUCGACGCGUCCAACUCCACCGUGGCCGAUGCACUCACGGCGGAGCACCUGUUUCGUCGUGCUCGGCGCGCACACCUCUGGUUCCACCACUCGGAUUCGGGGGGUACCGGCGUUGGCGAGGCACGCAUGGAUGGAGGCGGUCUCAUCCCCGGCGGCGGUCACCAUCUAUCCAGACACAAAAAUGGCGUUGGCGCGGACAUCCUCGCGGCGAGCAGGGGUGUUGUGUGUGCACGCCAGGGGGAGGCAUCGCGUGGUGUCUACGCCGGUGGGGGAGGGUGCGGGGGCGGGAUGGUCGGGUUGGGGAGCGGGUGAGAUUUCUGGCGGCCGCCUACUUUUGAUUACGUGCUGGCCGCUUCCUCCUCGUUGUGGAGCGCGCGGGCUGGCGGCCGGCGGCGGGCGCGAGCUACUGCGAAGUGGGAAAGGAGAGGAAGAGAGACGAGCGGGGUUAGGGAUUUAGGUUUUGGGUUAAGUUCGACGGUGUUUACAUGGCCCACGUUUUUAAUUUAAGAACGUGGGUACCCACGUUUUUAAUAGGUUAAGUUCGACGGUUUUAGCUACAGCCCACGAAGUUAAUUUAAGAACGUGGGUACCCACGUUAUUAAAAAAACCCAUGAACUUAACUAAUAUAAGAACGUCGGUACCCACGUUCUUAACAAAACCCACGAACAUUUAUCAGUUUCUUGUAGUGACUUCAAAUAAAACUCAAAUUUAUUUUGAUUCAAUUUUGGCAUAUAUGGAUCAUCCUUUGCCACCACUUGGUUUGUUUUUGCAAAUCAAACUCAAAUCUCUAUCUCUAAGUCAAACACACAUGUUGAAGCAUAAAGAGAGUCAUUCCAAAAGAGAUUGAUCAAAGAUUUCAAAAACUCCCCCUAUUUCCCAUAAUCAACACUUCUCCCCACAAGAGGCCAACUUUUGACAAAAGAGACAAUGCAAGAGUUUUGACAAACCAAAAGCUCUAUUCUACUAUUUUCAAAGUUUCUCAAGUGGUAGCUGAUCCAUCUAUUGCUUUGGCCUUUAUUUUCUCCCCCUUUGGCAUCAAGCACCAAAACGAGAUCAAUCUUGGCCUUUUAACCCCAUUGCCUCACCAAAUUCUUCAAUUAAGAGCAAAUAGGCAAUAAGAGUACAUGAGAUGAACUUGGAAUAAGUUACCCUCUCAUCGGAGUGCAGUGGAAGUCUUGCAUGGUCCAAGUCCACCUUUUCCCUUUUAAUUCUCCUUCGAGACUAAAACAAGCAAACUCAAGCAUAUGGUUAGUCUCAAAGGGUCAAGUUGUAACACAUCUCCCCUUAAAACUAUGCAUCACUUUGCAACGGACUUGUGAGGUCCAGGGAGUGUUUGUACAACUUGAGCACCAUACUAAACAACAAAAUGCAGAAUGAACAUGAUCAAGGGCAUAAACACAUGUAUGCUACAAUUCAAUCCAAGUUCCGCGAAUCUAAGACAUUUAGCUCACUACGCAACCUGCAAAAGGUCUUCUCAUCUAGAGGCUUGGUAAAGAUAUCGGCUAGCUGGUUCUCGGUGCUAACAUGAAACACUUCGAUAUCUCCCUUUUGCUGGUGGUCUCUCAAAAAGUGAUGCCGGAUGUCAAUGUGCUUUGUGCGGCUGUGUUCAACAGGAUUUUCCGCCAUGCGGAUAGUCAUUAUCACAUAGGAGUGGGACUUUGCUCAGAUUGUAGCCAAAGUCCCGGAGGGUUUGCCUCAUCCAAAGUAGUUGCGCGCAACACUGUCCUGCGGCAACAUACUCGGCCUCAGCGGUGGAUAGGGCAACAGAAGUUUGUUUCUUAGAGUUCCACGACACCAGGGACCUUCCUAAGAAUUGGCACGUCCCCGAUGUACUCUUCCUAUCGACCUUACAUCCAGCAUAGUCGGAAUCUGAGUAUCCAACCAAGUCAAAGGUAGACCCCUUUGGAUACCAGAGCCCGAAGCAAGGCGUAGCAACCAAAUAUCUAAGAAUUCGCUUCACCGCCACUAAGUGACACUCCUUAGGAUCGGAUUGAAAUCUAGCACACAUGCAUACGCUAAGCAUAAUAUCUGGUCUACUAGCACAUAAAUAAAGUAAAGACCCUAUCAUUGACCGGUAUGCUUUUUGAUCAACGGACUUACCUCCUUUGUUGAGGUCGGUGUGUCCGUCGAUCCCCAUCGGAGUCUUUGCGGGCUUGGCGUCCUUCAUCCCAAACCGCUUUAGCAGAUCUUGCGUGUACUUCGUUUGGGAGAUGAAGGUACCGUCCUUGAGUUGCUUCACUUGGAACCCAAGGAAGUAGGUCAACUCGCCCAUCAUUGACAUCUCGAAUUUCUGUGUCAUCACCCUGCUAAACUCUUCAUAAGACUUUUGGUUAGUAGAACCAAAUAUUAUGUCAUCGACAUAAAUUUGGCACACAAACAAAUCACCAUCACAUGUCUUUGUAAAAAGAGUUGGAUCAGCUUUCUCAACCUUGAAAGCAUUAGCAAUUAAAAAGUCUCUAAGGCAUUCAUACCAUGCUCUUGGGGCUUGCUUAAGUCCAUAGAGCGCCUUAGAGAGCUUACACACGUGGUCGGGGUACCGUUCAUCCUCAAAGCCAGGGGGUUGCUCUACGUACACCUCCUCCUUGAUCGGCCCAUUUAGGAAAGCGCUCUUCACAUCCAUUUGGUACAACCUGAAAGAAUGGUGAGCGGCAUAUGCUAGCAAGAUACGAAUGGACUCUAGCCUAGCCACAGGAGCAAAAGUCUCCUCAAAGUCCAAACCUGCGACUUGGGCAUAACCUUUUGCCACAAGUCGAGCCUUGUUCCUUGUCACCACUCCGUGCUCGUCUUGUUUGUUGCGAAACACCCACUUGGUUCCCACAACAUUUUGCUUAGGACGAGGCACCAGUGUCCAAACUUCAUUGCGCUUGAAGUUGUUGAGUUCCUCCUGCAUGGCCAACACCCAGUUCGGAUCUAGCAAGGCCUCUUCUACCCUGAAAGGCUCAAUAGAAGAGACAAAAGAGUAAUGCUCACAAAAAUUAACUAAUCUCGAGCGAGUAGUUACUCCCUUGCUAAUAUCACCCAAUAUCUGGUCGACGGGAUGAUCCCUUUGAAUCGUCGCUCGAACUUGGGUUGGAGGUGCCGGUUGCGCUUCUUCCUCCAUCAUGUGAUCAUCUUGUGCUCCCCCUUGAUCACACGCCUCCUUUUGAUGAACCUGUUCAUCGUCUUGAGUUGGGGGAUGCACCGUUGUUGAGGAAGAAGGUUGAUCUUGCUCCAAAUGUUCUUGAGGCCGUACAUCUCCAAUCGCCAUGGUGCGUAUCGCGGCCGUUGGAACGUCUUCUUCAUCUACAUCAUCAAGAUCAACAACUUGCUCUCUUGGAGAGCCAUUAGUCUCAUCAAAUACAACAUCGCUAGAGACUUCAACCAAACCCGAUGAUUUGUUGAAGACCCUAUACGCCUUUGUAUUUGAAUCAUAACCUAAUAAAAACCCUUCUACGGCUUUGGGAGCAAAUUUGGAAUUCCUACCCUUCUUCACUAGAAUGUAGCAUUUACUCCCAAAAACACGAAAAUACGAUACAUUAGGUUUGUUACCGGUUAGCAGCUCAUACGACGUCUUCUUGAGGAGGCAGUGAAGGUAGACCCUGUUGAUAGCGUGGCAAGCCGUGUUCACGGCUUCCGACCAAAAGCACUCGGGGGUCUUGAAUUCUCCAAGCAUAGUCCUCGCCAUAUCUAUGAGUGUCCUGUUCUUCCUCUCUACCACACCAUUUUGCUGAGGUGUGUAGGGAGCGGAGAAUUCGUGCUUGAUCCCCUCCUCCUCAAGAAAUUCCUCCACUUGAAGGUUCUUGAACUCGGACCCGUUGUCGCUCCUUAUCUUUUUCACUUUGAGCUCAAACUCAUUUUGAGCUCUCCUUAGGAAGCGCUUGAGGGUCCCUUGGGUUUCAGACUUAUCCUGCAAAAAGAACACCCAAGUGAAGCGGGAAAAGUCAUCAACAAUAACUAGACCAUACUUACUUCCUCCUAUGCUCAGAUAGGCGACGGGUCCGAAGAGGUCCAUAUGUAGCAGCUCCAGGGGUCUUGAUGUUGUCAUCACAUUUUUGGUGUGAUGAGAGCCUCCCACUUGUUUCCCUGCUUGACAAGCUGCACAAGGUCUAUCUUUUUCGAAAUGAACAUUAGUUAGACCUAUCACAUGUUCUCCCUUUAGAAGCUUGUGGAGGUUCUUCAUCCCCACAUGUGCUAAGUGGUGAUGCCACAGCCAGCCCAUGCAAGUCUUAGCCAUUAAGCAUGCAUCUAGACCGGCCUCUUCUUUUGCAAAAUCAACUAGGUAAAGCUUGCCGUCUAGUACACCCUUAAAAGCUAGUGAACCAUCACAUCUUCUAAAGACAGACACAUCUACAUUUGUAAACAAACAGUUAUAUCCCAUAUUGCAUAAUUGACUAACAGAUAGCAAAUUAUAUCCAAGAGACUCUACUAAAAACACAUUAGAGAUAGAGUGCUCAUUUGAGAUUGCAAUUUUACCUAACCCUUUUACCUUGCCUUGAUUCCCAUCACCGAAUAUUAUUGAAUCUUGGGAAUCUUUGUUUUUGACGUAGGAGGUGAACAUCUUCUUCUCCCCCGUCAUAUGGUUUGUGCAUCCGCUGUCAAUAAUCCAGCUUGAACCCCCGGAUGCAUAAACCUGCAAGGCAAAUUUAGGCUUGGGUCUUAGGUACCCAACUCAUGUUGGGUCCUGCAAGGUUAGCACAAAUAUCCUUAGGGACCCAAAUGCAAGUUUUGUCUCCCUUGCAUCUUGCCCCUAAUUUUCUAGCAACUAUCUUCCUAUUCUUUCUACAAAUAGCAAAAGAAGCAUUUAAAGCAUGAUAUAUUGUAGAAGGUUCAUUUACUUUCCUAGGAACAUUAACAACAUUUCUCCUAGGCAAAUUAUGAACAACAUUUCUCCUACCAACAUUUCUAUCAUGCACAUAAGAAGAACUAGAAGCAAACAUGGCAUGAGAAUCAAAGGCAUUAUAUGCAUUACAACUCCUAUAAGCAUUUCUAGAUUGUCUCCUAUCAUGAUACAUAAAAGCAUGGUUCUUUUGCACACUACUAGCCAUAGGGGCCUUUCCUUUCUCCUUGGCGGAGAUGGGGGCCUUAUGGCUUGUCAAGUUCUUGGCUUCCCUCUUGUAGCCAAGUCCAUCCUUAAUUGAGGGGUGUCUACCAAUCGUGUAGGCAUCCCUUGCAAAUUUUAGCUUGUCAAAUUCAUUCUUGCUAGUCUUAAGUUGGGCAUUAAGACUAGCUAAUUCCUCAUUUAAUUUAGAGAUUGAAACUAAAUGAUCACUACAAGCAUCAAUGUCAAAAUCUUUACACCUAUUACAAGUUUCAACAAUUUCUACACAAGAAUUAGAUUUACUAGCUACUUUUAGUUUAGCAUUUAAAUCAUCAUUAAAACUUUUUAACUUAGCAAUAGUUUCAUGACAAGAAGAUAAUUCACUAGAGUGCAUUUCAUUCCUCUUAAUUUCUAGAGCAAGAGAUUUCUGAGCUUCUACAAAUUUAUCAUGUUCUUCAUACAACAAAUCCUCUUGCUUUUCUAACAGUAUAUUCCUAUCAUUCAAGGCAUCAAUCAAUUCAUUAAUUUUGUCUACCUUAGUUCUAUCUAAUCCCUUGAAUAAGCAUGAGUAAUCUAUCUCAUCAUCAUCACUAGACUCAUCCUCACUUGAAGAAGCAUAAGUACUAGUAUUAGGAGUGCUUACUUUCUUCUCCCUUGCCAUGAGGCAAGUGUGACGCUCGUUGGGGAAGAGGGAUGACUUGUUGAAGGCAGUGGCGGCGAGUCCUUCAUUGUCUGAGUCGGACGAGGAGCAGUCCGAAUCCCACUCUUUGCCAAGAUGAGCCUCGCCCUUUGCCUUCUUAUAGUUCUUCUUUUUCUCCCUCUUGUUCCCUUGAUCCUGAUCACUAUCAUUGUCGGGACAGUUAGCAAUAAAAUGACCAAGCUUACCGCAUUUGAAGCAUGAGCGCUUCCCCUUGGCUUUGGUCUUGCUUGGUUGUCCCUUGCGAUCUUUAAGCACCGUCUUGAAUCUUUUGAUGAUGAGAGCCAUCUCUUCAUCAUUAAGUCCGGCCGCCUCAAUCUGUGCCACCUUGCUAGGUAGCGCCUCCUUGCUUCGUGUUGCCUUGAGAGCAAGAGGUUGCGGCUCGUUGAUCGGACCAUUCAAGGCGUCGUCCACGUAUCUCGCCUCCUUGAUCAUCAUUCGCCCGCUAACGAAUUUCCCAAGAACUUCUUCGGGCGACAUCUUGGUGUACCUGGGAUUUUCACGAAUAUUGUUCACUAAAUGAGGAUCAAGAACGGUAAAUGACCUUAGCAUUAGGCGGACGACGUCGUGGUCCGUCCAUCGCGUGCUCCCGUAGCUCCUUAUUUUGUUGAUAAGGGUCUUGAGCCGGUUGUAUGUUUGUGUCGGCUCCUCGCCCCUUAUCAUCGCGAACCGUCCAAGCUCGCCUUCCACCAACUCCAUUUUGGUGAGCAAGGUGACGUCGUUUCCCUCAUGAGAGAUCUUGAGGGUGUCCCAGAUCUGCUUGGCAUUGUCCAAGCCGCUCACCUUGUGAUACUCGUCCCUGCACAAAGAGGCUAGCAACACAGUAGUAGCUUGUGCAUUUUUAUGAAUCUGUUCAUUAAUAAAAACAGGGCUAUCCGAGCUAUCAAAUUUCAUUCCACUUUCCACAAUCUCCCAAAUGCUUGGAUGGAGAGAAAACAAGUGAGUACGCAUUUUGUGGCUCCAAAAUCCGUAGUCCUCUCCAUCAAAGUGAGGGGGCUUGCCAAGUGGAAUGGGGAGCAAUUGAGCAUUUGAACUAUGCGGGAUGCGCGAAUAAUCGAAAGAAAAGUUUGAGUUAACCGUCUUUCGUCUAUCGUGGUCGUCAUCGUCCUUUUGGGAGGAGGAAGAUUCGUCGUUGUCGUAGUAGACAAUUUCCUUGAUGCGCCUUGUCUUCUUCUUCCUCCCGUCUUUUCUUUUGUGGCCCGAGCCUGAGUCGGUGGGCUUGUCAUCAUUGGGCUCGUUGACGAAGGUCUCCUUCUCCUUGUCGUUGAUCACCAUCCCCUUGCCCUUAGGAUCCAUCUCUUCGGGCGGUUAGUCCCUUUCUUGAAGAGAACGGCUCCGAUACCAAUUGAGAGCACCUAGAGGGAGGGGUGAAUAGGUGAUCCUGAAUAACUUAAAAACUUAAGCCACAAAACUUUGAUUAAGCGUUAGCACAGUUAAUGCCACGUGGCUAGAGAGAAGAUCUUGCACAAUACGAUAACCACAAGGAAUUCAACACAGAGAAGACACAAUGAUUUAUCACGUGGUUCGGCCAAGUACAAAACUUGCCUACUCCACGUUGUGGCGUCCCAAUGGACGAGAGUUGCACUCAACUCCUCUCAAGUGAUCCAAUGAUCAACUUGAAUACCACAGUGUUAUGCUUUUCUUUUCUUAUCGCGUUCGCGAGGAAUCUCCACAACUUGGAGUCUCUCACCCUUACACUUGAAGUUCACAAAGAAGCACGGAGUAAGGGAGGGAAGCAACACACACAAAUCCACAGCAAAAUGCGCACACACACGGCCAAGAAUCGAGCUCAAAAGACUAUCUCAAAGUUCUCACUAGAACGGAGCUCGAAUCACUGAGAAUGACAAACGAAUGCGCAAAGACUGAGUGUGGAUGAUCAAGAAUGCUCUAAGGUUGCUUGGUGUUCUCCUCCAUGCGCCUAGGGGUCCCUUUUAUAGUCCCAAGGCAGCUAGGAGCCGUUGAGAACAAAUCUGGAAGGCCAUCCUUGCCUUCUGUCGUCGGGCGCACCGGACAGUCCGGUGCACACCGGACAGUGUCCGGUGCCCGAUUUCCUUCCUUAAAUAGCGAAGCCGACCAUUGGCGGCCUUGGAGCCGUUGGCGCACCGGACAUGUCCGGUGCACACCGGACAGUCCGGUGCCCCCUUCUAGCCGUUGGCUCGGCCACGUGUCCCGCGCAGAUCGCGCGGCCGACCGUUGGCCCGGCCGACCGUUGGCUCACCGGACAGUCCGGUGCACACCGGACAGUCCGGUGAAUUUUAGCCGUACGAUGUCGGCGAAUUCCCGAGAGCGGCCACUUCACGCCGAGUCAGCCUGGCGCACCGGACACUGUCCGGUGCACCACCGGACAGUCCGGUGUGCCAGACUGAGCUGAGUCUUGGUUGUACACAGCCAAGCCUUUUUCACCUCUUCUCUUUUCUUCUUCUUUCUAUUUCUAACACUUAGACAAGUAUAUUAGUACACAAAACCAAUGUACUAAGGCUUAGAAACAUACCUUUACUCUUGAUUUGCACUUUGUUCAUCCAUGAGCAUAAAUUCUCAUUUAAGCACUUGUGUUGGCACUCAAUCACCAAAAUACUUAGAAAUGACCCAAGGGCACAUUUCUCUUUCAAAGGGCGACGAGGAUCCUCAUCAUCGCCACUCUCUGGCGCCGACGCAUUCUUCGUGUGCGGCAUCCUGAUCUGAUGUCUGCAAAUGAGAGAGAGUGACUAAGCACAGAGCAAAAGUGACCGAUAGAUUUAGCAAAGAAUGAGAUGUCUACCUGGAAAGCUCACACGAGAGGUGACGAUCCAGGCAGGACGGGAGACAGCACACGGUCAAUCAAGGUCACUGAAAUGACAGAAGAGGUGAGCACGUAUUAGUCACAUAGUCAUAAGCAUAUGAAAUGUGAAUAAAUACAUACACAGAGAGAUAUGGCACAGAAAACACGAGACGAGACGAUCGAGAAGUCAAACGACGUGAAAACGACGUUUGAAGGAUAAUUAGUGCCAUAGGAGGUUUGGAAUUCGAAUUGAGGCACGAAACGAUAUGGGAAUGAGCCGAUACUUCACGAAUAGGUUUAUAUAGGUGAAUAUGAGUGAAGUGUGUGCUUGGUUUGAAUUUAGGCGAAGAAAAAGGAAUUUGGGCACUCGGCUCGGAAACGAUCGCUCUAAACGGGAAAUUUGGUGAAAUUUAAGUCUGGAAUCUCGGAUUGGCGUGAAAUUUGGCAAGUAGGUUACUGGAAGUGUUGUGAAGGUGCCUGAAAAAUUUGGGUUCAAUUGGAGCAUUUUUGGCUGGUUUGGGCAUUUCAUCGAGCACGUGGCGUGCGGGGAAUUAGGUUUUCGGUGAAAUGGCUAUUUGAGGAGUGAAAACCCUCCCGAAGAGCUAGGAUCUUGCAGGGAUACAUAAUGGGGACAAUUGAACACAUUCCACCGUUGGGAUUCACUGGAUUUGACAAGAAUUUGAAAGAUGGACAGGGGGUGGAGACUGUCUAAGAAACAGAGAGAUAGAGAGGCAGGGGAGAAAACGAGGCUGCUCACCGAGGGGGAGGAAGAGCACUGGCGAGGUCGCCGGAGGAUCGUCGGAGAUGGUGGCCGCCGGUGGUCGGAGAUCGCCGGCGGGGGAGGGAAUCGCCAAGAACAGAGAGCAAAGGGACGCUGGCGGUGAGAAGAGUGAGCCUCUGGCUCGGAUGCGGGCUGGAGGCCUUUUUUUAAAACGCGAUAUGGGCGCACCGGACAGUCUACAGUGCCUGUCCGGUGCACACCGGACAGCGCACAGUAGCUGUCUGGUGAACCACCGGACAGCGCACAGGAAAAAUGAAUUUUAGCGCGCGGCUGCCGGUGCACCGGACAUUGCACAGUGCAGUGUCCGGUGCACACCGGACUGUCCGGUGAGCCCAGACAGAGGAGAGUUUGGUAAGAUUUGAAUUUUUCUAUCUAACUCCCAACCAAACCAAAUCCCAACUUAUAAUCACACAAAAUAACACUUGUUGGGACAGGUAUUGGCACCCUCAUAUACUUUUCAAAAUAUUUCGCCAUAGGCUAGAUAAUUUUUAGAGAAAAUAGGCAAAUGGUGAAAUUUGCAUUUUGGUUUGCACUAAGGGGUUUUUAUGAGUGAUUUGAGUUUUGAAUACUCCCCCUAAGUGCAGUACCUCAUGCAUAUUUCAAGAACCAAUAAUUGCAUAGAAAGUAAGAAUUUAAGUGCUAAAAGCUUAAAACUAAGACUUGUCAGGUUUGACCCGAGUUAAGCUUUUUCACUCGCUUUGUUGGCGGUUAUCUCAACUAGGUUAGACAAGUCCUAGAUGCAAUACAAGGAAUUUAAACAUGCAAUGCAAGCUUGACAACACCAUUUGACAUUUUACAUAAAAUUUCUGAGAUCAAGAAUAUUUAGUUCAUUUCUCAACAUGCAAAAGCGGGUCUUAUCAAGUGGCUUAGUGAAAAUAUCCGCUAGUUGAUCUUCCGACCUCACUCCUUCUAAAAUGAUAUCUCCUUUAGCAACAUGAUCUCUAAGGAAGUGAUGACGGAUAUCAAUGUGCUUGGUGCGAGAGUGUUGUACAGGAUUAUUAGCAAUUUUAACAGCACUCUCAUUAUCACACAACAAAGGUACCUUUUCUAGAACUACGCCAUAGUCUAGAAGAGUUUGUUUCAUAUAUAAAAUCUGUGUGCAACAAGCACCUGCGGCAAUGUAUUCCGCUUCAGCAGUUGACAAGGCAACACUAUUUUGCUUUUUGGAUGUCCAUGAAACUAGUGAUCUACCAAGCAGAUGGCAUCCCCCAGAAGUACUUUUCCUGUCAAUUUUGCAACCGGCAUAAUCCGAAUCGGAAUAGCCAAUUAAAUCAAAAGUAGCUCCUUUGGGAUACCACAGACCAACGCUUGUGGUGUGCCUGAGAUACCUAAGAAUUCUCUUAACAGCGCGAAGAUGAGCUUUCUUAGGAUUAGAUUGGAAUCUAGCACACAUGCAAACACUGAACAUAAUAUCGGGCCUAGAUGCGGUAAGGUACAAUAAACUACCAAUCAUAGAACGGUAGAGAGUUUGAUUAACCGGGUUACCUCCCUCAUCUAAGUCGAGAUGUCCAUUUGUAGGCAUGGGAGUCUUGAUUGGUUUGCACUUCUCCAUGUUGAACCUUUUCAACAAGUCUUUGGUGUAUUUCUCUUGUGAGAGAAAGUUACCAUCUUUCAUUUGCUUGACUUAAAAGCCGAGGAAGUAUGUUAGCUCACCAAUCAUUGACAUCUCGAACUCCUUCAACAUCAACUCACCAAAUUCCUUGCAAUGAUAGUCAUUUGUCGAGCCAAAGAUUAUAUCAUCAACAUAUACUUGACAAAUGAAAAUAUCACCGUUAUGUUUCUUUGUGAAGAGAGUUGUGUCGACGGUCCCGAUCUUGAAGCCCUUUUCGAUGAGGAAGUCGCGAAGACGCUCAUACCAAGCCCUUGGAGCUUGCUUUAGCCCAUAAAGCGCUUUGGACAACCUGUAAGCAUGGUUAGGAUAUCUAGGGUCUUCAAAUCCAGACUGUUGCUCAACAUAUACAAGUUCAUUUAUGAAGCCAUUUAAAAAUGCAAUUUUUACAUCCAUUUGAUAAAGUUUUAUAUCAUAGCAUGAUGCAUAUGCAAGUAGGAUACAGAUGGCUUCCAGUCGAGCAACCGGUGCAAAGGUCUCUCCAAAAUCUAAGCCUUCAACUUGAGAGAAUCCCUUUGCGACAAGUCUUGCCUUGUUUCUUACAAUCACACCUUGAUCAUCUUGUUUGUUUCUGAACACCCAUUUUGUUCCAAUGAUUCUUGCAUCUUGUGGGGGCUUCUCCAGGGUCCAAACUUCGUUACGGGUGAAGUUGUUAAGUUCUUCAUGCAUGGCAUUCACCCAGUCCGGAUCCUGUAGCGCCUCAUCUAUACAAGUAGACUCAACACAAGAAACAAAAGAGUGAUGUUCAAUAAAAGUAGCAUGUCUAUGUGAUCGAGUAAUAACCCCUUGUGAAGGACUCCCGAUGAUUUGGUUUUGAGGAUGAGCUUGAAGUAGUGAUGAGUUUCUCCUGUCAACCACUUGGGAAGAAGAUCCUGGAGCAUCAACAUCUUCGGCUUGUACCCUUGCUUGUUCAUGAGAGACAAAUGUAUCUUCAUUUGCAUGCCUCUCAUCUUUUUCAUCAUCUUGUGGUACAUUUGAUGAAGAAGGUAUGUCAAUGAUUUGCACCUCUUCUUCAUCUUCUUUUGGUUUGAUAGCUCCAAUAGGCAUGUUCUUCAUUGCUUCCCUAAGUGGCUCAUCACCUACAUCAUCAAGAUUUUCAAGUGCUCCUUGGGAGCCAUUAGUCUCAUCAAAUUCCACAUCAUAUGUUUCUUCUACCACGCCAGUGGCAUGGUUGAAUACUCGAUAUGCUUUGGACUUUAAUGAAUAACCCAAAAGAAAACCAAUAUCACAACGUCUUUGAAACUUCACUAGGUGAUGGCGUUUCUUGUAGAUGUAGCAUUUGCACCCAAAUACCCGGAAGAAAGAGACGUCUGGCUUUUUCCCAUUUAGCAGUUCAUAAGGAGUCUUCGCAAGUAGCCGAUGAGGAAAUAGCCUGUUUGAUGCAUAACAAGCAGUGUUGACAGCUUCGGCCCAAAACCUCUCCGGUGUGUUGUACUCAUCAAUCAUUGUUCUUGCAAGGGUGAUCAAGGUCCUAUUUUUCCUUUCAACAACUCCAUUUUGUUGAGGUGUAUAUGUGGCAGAUACUUCAUGCUUGAUCCCAAUUUCAUCACAGUACUCAUGAAUGUUGGUGUUGUCAAAUUCUUUGUCAUUGUCACUUCUAAUCUUCUUAAUCUUGCAAUCAAAUUCAUUUUGUGCUUUCUUGGCAAAUUUCUUAAAUAUAGAUGCAACUUCAGAUUUGUCAUGGAGAAAGAACACCCAAGUGUAUCUUGAGAAGUCAUCAACAAUCACUAGACAGUAGAGGUUGCCACCGGCACUGACAUAAUUUGUAGGUCCAAAUAAAUCCAUAUGAAGUAGUUCCAGUGGCCUUGAUGUUGACAUGAAAGCUUUAGUAGGAUGUGUAUUAGCAACUUGCUUUCCAGCUUGACAUGCACUGCAUGGCUUGUCUUUUUCAAACACCACAUCCUUUAAUUCUCUAACCAUAUCUUUCUUUAAUACCUUCUUGAGUGUGCUCAUCCCAACAUGUGCAAGCCUCCUAUGCCAAAGCCAUCCAAGAGAAGCUUUGGUGAAGAGGCAAGUUCUUAAGUCUGCAUCUUCUGAAGUGAAAUCCACUAAGUAGAGGUUGUUGUAUCUAAAUCCCUUGAAUACCAUUGAUUCAUCAUCCAUUUUUGUUACAAUAACCUCUGAUGGAGUGAAUAAGCAUUGAAGUCCAAGAUCACAGAGUUGUCCCACUGAUAAUAAAUUGAAGCUCAAGGGUGCAACUAAGAGAACAUUUGAUAUUGAUAAGUCAUUUGAGAUUGCCACCUUGCCAAGUCCUUGCACUUUUCCUUUUGAGUUGUCUCCAAAUGUGAUUUUAUCUUGACCAUCAACAUUCUCAUCUAGUGAGGUGAACAUCCGUGGGUUGCCUGUCAUAUGUUGUGUGCAUCCACUGUCAAUAACCCAAUGGCUCCCACCGGUCUUGUAGUUCACCUACAUUCACAGACAAUUCAAGCUUGAGUUUUGAGAGCCCUAUAUUGCAUAGGACCAGUGACUCUCUCAAUUAAGGACUUUGCCACCCAGAUUUGUCUAGGUCUACUCUUAUUUGGUGGACCUAGGAAUGUAACCUUAAUCUUUCCAUUUGCAACCUUUCUUAGAACAUAGUGAGCAUUGAAAGCAAAUGGUCUUGAGUGCUUAGGCAAGGGAGUUGGUGGUUUAGCUUUGCAGUUGUGGGCAAAAUGACCUUCAUUUCCACACUCAAAGCAUUUGAUAGGCUUGUGAGUCUGCUUUGGCUUGUAUUGAGUGAUAGCUUUCUUUUGCACAAAAGCAUUGUAUCCAAUACCACUCUUGUUAUUUUUCAUAACAGUGUUCAUAAGCAGCUUAUUUUGGAGGUAUUGACCCUUGUUGAACUUUUGCACACUUGUUGCAAGAUGUUCAUUUUCACUUUUUAGUUUCUUGACCUCAUUCUUAAGCCUUUGAUUAUCCACUGCCAACUCAUUGUUGAAAUCAUUGUUCUCAAUAGCAACUUUUCCUCUAGUAGUUGCAUCAGUCAAGUAAUUCUUCAAUUUUUGGUUGUCUAAAGUCAGGACUUCAACUUUUUCAGUCAAUUCAGCAUGUAGACUAGUUUGCUCUUCUUGAAUCAAAUCAUCACAUGAGGUUGCUACAUCAAGCUUAACAACAGGGUUAAUAGCCUCAUGUGUUUUGCAAGAUAAAAGUUCAUUUUCAACAAGAAGAUUGUCAUGAUCAAAUUUAAUUUGAGUAUAGUCUUCCUUGAUCUUUACUAGUCUAUUUUGCAACUCCCUAUUAGCUUCAUUUAAUUUGUCAUAUUUUUCCUUAGCAUCUUUUAGGUAGUUUGUGAGCUCAUUUACAGUUGAUGACAUAGUUUUAUUUUCUUCUUUUAUUUCAUCACUAGCCUUUAUAACUAUGUCAUACUUGGCAUUUAAAGAUUCAUUUUCAUUUUUCAACCUAUCACAUUUAGCUUUUGACUUUCUAAUGAUUUGAGUAUAUUCUUUAAGUAAGUCAGCUAACUCAUCAUAUGAAGGUGAAGCAAAUUCUUCAUCACUAUCACUAUCAUCAGCAAUAUUAAUAUCAUUUUGUACCUUUCGUUCACCCCUAGCCAUGAGGCAUAGGUGAGAAGUGGAUGAUGGCGAUGGUGGUGGUGAAGAGAAGUCCCCGGCGAUGGCCGCAACUUUUUCAUCAUUCUCUUCUUCACUUGAAGAAGACCCACUUGAUGAUUCGAUGUCGGUGAGCCAGUCGCCAACAAUAUAUGCCUUUCCAUUCUUCUUCUUGUGAAACCUCUUUUGCUUUCCAUCCUUCCUCUUGAAGAAUUUCUUUUCCUUCUUUUCAUCAUCGCUGUCAUCUUCCUUCUUGCCCUUGAACUUGUUCUUCUUGGGCUUGUUGCAUUGAUGAGCAAGAUGACCAAGCUCACCACAGUUGUAGCAGUCCAUCUCAGAAAUGGGCUUUCUUUUGUUGGAAAAGAACUUCUUCUUUCUUGAAUCAAAUUUGAUGCCUUCUCUAUUGUCGGGGACCAUAAUUAGGGGUACCCUCAAGACGCCUAAUUCUCAGCUGGUAACCCCCAUCAGCAUAAAGCUGCAAAGGCCUGAUGGGCACGAUUAAGUCAGGGAUCAGUCCACACGAGUGACUCGAUCACGCUUCACCCGAGCCUAGCCUCGGCCGAAGGCAGCCGACCUCGAGAGACUUCCGUCUCGCCCGAGGCCCCCUUUUUAUGGCGGACACAUCACCGGCUUGCCCAAGGCCUUGGCUUCGCUCAGAAGCAACCUUGACUAAAUCACCACACCGACUGACCAAAUUGCAGGGGCAUUUAACGCAAAGGUGGCCUGACACCUCUAUCCUGACACGCGCCCCCGGCAGAGCCGAGGUGACCGCCGUCACUCCACCGCUCCACUGGCCAGUCUGACAGAAGGACAGCGCCGCCUGCGCCACUCCGACUGCAGUGCCACUCGACAGAGUGAGUCUGACAGGCAAUUAGGCCUUGCCAAAGGCGCCACAGCGAACUCCGCUCCGCCCGACCCCAGGGCUCGGACUCGGGCUAAGACCCGGAAGACGGCGAACUCCGCUCCGCCCGACCCCAGGGCUCGGACUCGGGCUAAGACCCGGAAGACGGCGAACUCCGCUCCGCCCGACCCCAGGGCUCGGACUCGGGCUAAGACCCGGAAGACGGCGAACUCCGCUCCGCCCGACCCCAGGGCUCGGACUCGGGCUAGGACCCGGAAGACGGCGAACUCCGCUCCGCCCGACCCCAGGGCUCGGACUCGGGCUAAGACCCGGAAGACGGCGAACUCCGCUCCGCCCGACCCCAGGGCUCGGACUCAGGCUAAGACCCGGAAGACGACGAAACUCCGCCUCGCCCGACCCCAGGGCUCGGACUCCGCCCUGGCCUUGGCCGGACGACUUCCGCCUCGCCCGACCCCCUGGCUCGGGCUCGGCCACGGCAACUGAAGGCAAGACUCAACCUCGGCUUCGGAGGAAACCCCACGUCGCCCUGCCUAGAGCACAGACCGCCACGUCAACAGGAAACGUCAUCAUCACCCUACCCCGAAUCGACUCGGGUCACGGAGAACAAGACCGGCGUCUCGUCCGGCCAGCUCCGCCAGAGGGGCAAUGAUGGCGCUCCACGAGCUCUAUGACGACGGCGGCCCCCAGCUCUCUUACGGCAGCAGGACAACGUCAGCAGGGACUCGACCGCUCCAACAGCUGUCCCUCCAUCAGGCUCCGUCGCACCUCCGAUAGCCACGACAUCACGCCAGCAGGAUGCCCAGAUCUCUCCGGCUGCCACAUCGGCAUGUACCUAGGGCACUAGCUCUCCCUCCGCUAGACACGUAGCACUCUGCUACAUCCCCAUUGUACACCUGGAUCCUCUCCUUACAACUAUAAAAGGAAGGACCAGGGCCUUCUCAGAGGAGGUUGGCCGCGCGGGACCGAGGACGGGACAGGCGCUCUCUUGGGGCCGCUCGCUUCCCUCACCCGCGUGGACGCUUGUAACCCCCCUACUGCAAGCGCACCUAACCUGGGCGCGGGACGAACACGAAGGCCGCGGGACUUCCACCUCUCUCACGCUCGGCUCCGGCCGCCUCGCCUCUCCCCCCUCCGCGCUCGCCCACGCGCUCGACCCAUCUGGGCUGGGGCACGCAGCACACUCACUCGUCGGCUUAGGGACCCCCCUGUCUCGAAACGCCGACAGUUGGCGCGCCAGGUAGGGGCCUGCUGCGUGCUGACGAAUAGCUCCCCGUCAAGCUCCAGAUGGGCAGUCUCCAGCAACCUCUCCGGCCCGGGACGGUGCUUCGUUUCGGGGCUCUCGAGUUCAUGUCCUUCGACGGCAGCUACGACAUAAUACUUCUUCCACCGCCGUGCGACCACGACAAUGGCGGCCGACAACCCGCCCGCCGGCGGCGGAAUCGACGACGUCUACCCCGCGUGGUGGAAAAGCAACAUUCGGGCUCGCUCCGUUCUCUCCCCCGCCAAUGGAGGAGGAGGCGGGGCCGUCAAGGCCAGACGGGAGGCCGCGCUUCGCCGGCCGUCGAGCGAAUCGAUGCCCCCGACGCCCCGACGGAAGGCACGCCGGACAUCGACCUCGCGUUCAAGACGGAGGCAAGCGUCGUCCCCCCGCGGCACGACGACCCCGAGCAAGAAGACGACGCCGGCGCGCUCGCGGAAAGCCUGCAGGACGUCGCCCUCGAACCAGAGAUGACGGCGCAACCAGUCCCCGAUGUGACUACGUCGCUCCUCGUCGACCAAAAGGUAACGACUAACUCCCAUCUUGCGUCAUUUCGACUCGGCCUCAACCCGCCAAACGACCUCGAUUUGGCGGGCGCUCUCAUUGAGGCGAGUGCAACCCCACUGAGGUUCUGUAUGCGGUCGCCUUGGGACCGACUGACGGACGUCUCGACCUACGGGCCCUCUGGGUCCGAGGAAGAUGACGACCCCAGCAUCGGUUGGGAUUUCUCCGGACUUGGCAACCCCAGUGCCGUGCGGGAUUUCAUGGCCGCAUGUGACUACUGUAUGUCCGACUGUUCCGAUGCAAGCCGCAGCCUUGGCGACGAGAGCUGCGGCCCAAGCCGCGAAUGUUUCCACAUCGAGCUAGGGAAUCCCACCGAAGGCAACCAUCUUGGCAUGCCGGAGGAUGGUGAUCUCCCUAGGCCGGUGCCUCGCGCCGACAUCCCACGGGAGCUAGCUGUGGUCCCCGCUCCGGCGGGGGGUUACGACCCACAACUCGAGCAAGUCCGCGAGGCGCAGGCCAGGCUCAACGAGGGAACGGGAGCGCUUGAGCCGAUCCGUCGGGACGUCGGACAGGCAUGGGUGGGCCAACCCCUGGCCGGAGAAAUACGUCAUCUGCCCCAAGGUCUCCAGCACCGCGUCGCCAACGACGUCAGGAUCAGGCCGCCGCCCGCAUCCAGCGGGGUCGGUCAGAACCUGGCAACCGCAGCAAUGCUCAUCCGCGCGAUGCCGGAGCCGUCAACCACCGAGGGUCGGCGGAUCCAGGGAGAACUCAAGAAUCUCCUGGAAGGCGCCGCGGCCCGGCGGGCCGAGAGCACUGCAUCCCGAAGGCAAGGAUAUCCCUCGGAACCUCAUGCCGCGACUUCCCGAUUCAUGCGGGAAGCCUCGGUCUACACCGGGCGCACGCGCAACACCGCGCCUGCGGCCCCGGGCCACCUCGGCAACGAGCACCAUCGACGCGACCGUCGGGCUCACCUCGACGAAAGGGUGCGCCGAGGCUAUCACCCCAGGCGUGGGGGACGUUACGACAGCGGGGAGGAUCGGAGUCCUUCGCCCGAACCACCCGGUCCGCAGGCUUUCAGUCGGGCCAUUCGACGGGCGCCAUUCCCGACCCGGUUCCGACCCCCGACUACUAUCGUAAAGUACUCGGGGGAAACGAGACCGGAGCUGUGGCUCGCGGACUACCGCCUUGCCUGCCAACUGGGUGGAACGGACGACGACAACCUCAUCAUCCGCAACCUCCCCCUGUUCCUCUCCGACACUGCUCGUGCCUGGUUGGAGCACCUGCCUCCGGGGCAGAUUUCCAACUGGGACGACUUGGUCCAAGCCUUCGCUGGCAAUUUCCAGGGCACAUACGUGCGCCCCGGGAAUUCCUGGGACCUUCGAAGCUGCCGGCAACAGCCGGGAGAGUCGCUCCGGGACUACAUCCGGCGAUUCUCGAAGCAGCGCACCGAGCUGCCCAACAUCACCGACUCGGAUGUCAUCGGCGCGUUCCUCGCCGGCACCACUUGCCGCGACCUGGUGAGCAAGCUGGGUCGCAAAACCCCCACCAGGGCCAGCGAGCUGAUGGACAUCGCCACCAAGUUCGCCUCCGGCCAGGAGGCGGUCGAGGCUAUCUUCCGAAAGGACAAGCAGCCCCAGGGCCGCCCAUCGGAAGAAGCCCCCGAGGCGUCUGCUCCGCGCGGCGCCAAGAAGAAAGGCAAGAAGAAGUCGCAAUCGAAACGCGACGCCGCCGACGCGGACCUUGUCGCCGCCGCCGAGUAUAAGAACCCUCGGAAGCCCCCCGGAGGUGCAAACCUCUUCGACAAGAUGCUCAAGGAGUCGUGCCCCUACCAUCAGGGGCCCGUCAAGCACACCCUCGAGGAGUGCGUUAUGCUUCGGCGUCAUUUCCACAGGGUCGGGCCACCCGCCGAGGGUGGCAGGGCCCACGACGAUGACAAGAACGAAGAACACCCAGCAGGGGGGUUCCCCGAGGUCCGCGACUGCUUCAUGAUCUAUGGAGGGCAUGCGGCGAACACCUCGGCUCGGCACCGCAAGCAAGAGCGCCGGGAGGUCUGCUCGGUGAAGGUGGCGGCGCCAGUCUACCUAGACUGGUCCGACAAGCCCAUCACUUUCGACCGAGCCGACCACCCCGACCAUGUGCCGAGCCCGGGGAAAUACCCGCUCGUCGUCGACCCCGUUGUCGGCGAUGUCAGGCUCACCAAGGUCCUGAUGGACGGGGGCAGCUGCCUCAACAUCAUCUACGCCGAGACCCUCAAGCUCCUGCGCGUCGAUCCGUCCACCGUCCGAGCAGGCGCUGCGCCCUUCCACGGGAUCAUCCCUGGGAAGCGCGUCCAGCCCCUCGGGCGACUCGACCUCCCAGUCUGCUUCGGGACACCCUCCAACUUCCGAAGGGAGACCCUGACGUUCGAAGUGGUCGGGUUCCGAGGAACCUACCACGCCGUGUUAGGGAGGCCAUGCUACGCGAAGUUCAUGGCCGUCCCCAACUACACCUACCUGAAGCUCAAGAUGCCGGGCCCCAACGGGGUCAUCACCGUCGGCCCCACGUACAAACACGCGUUCGAAUGCGACGUGGAGUGCGUGGAGUACGCCGAGGCCCUCGCCGAGUCCGAGGCCCUCAUCGCCGACCUGGAGAACCUCUCCAAGGAGGUCCCAGACGUGAAGCGCCAUGCCGGCAACUUCGAGCCAGCGGAGACGGUCAAGGCCGUCCCCCUCGACCCCAGCGGCGACACCACCAAGCAGAUCCGGAUCGGUUCCGGGCUCGACCCCAAAUAGGAAGCAGUGCUCGUCGACUUUCUCCGCGCAAACGCCGACGUCUUUGCGUGGAGUCCCUCGGACAUGCCCGGCAUACCGAGGGAUGUCGCCGAGCACUCGCUGGAUAUUCGGGCCGGAGCCCGACCCGUCAGACAGCCUCUGCGCCGAUUCGACGAGGAGAAGCGCAGGGCGAUUGGCGAAGAGAUCCACAAGCUACUGGCGGCAGGGUUCAUCAAAGAGGUAUUCCAUCCCGAAUGGCUUGCCAACCCUGUGCUUGUGAGGAAGAAAGGGGGGAAAUGGCGGAUGUGUGUAGACUACACUGGUCUCAACAAAGCAUGUCCGAAGGUUCCCUACCCUCUGCCUCGCAUCGACCAAAUCGUGGAUUCCACUGCUGGGUGCGAAACCCUGUCCUUCCUCGAUGCCUACCCGGGGUAUCACCAGAUCCGGAUGAAAGAGUCCGACCAGCUCGCGACUUCUUUCAUCACGCCGUUCGGCAUGUACUGCUACGUCACCAUGCCGUUCGGCCUGAGGAAUGCAGGCGCGACGUACCAGCGGUGCAUGAACCAUGUGUUCGGCGAACACAUCGGUCGCACAGUCGAGGCCUACGUCGAUGACAUCGUAGUCAAGACACGGAAGGCUCCCAACCUCCUCUCCGACCUUGAAGUGACAUUCCGGUGUCUCAAGGCGAAAGGAGUCAAGCUUAAUCCUGAGAAGUGUGUCUUCGGGGUGCCCCGAGGCAUGCUCCUAGGGUUCAUCGUCUCUGAGCGAGGCAUCGAGGCCAACCCGGAGAAGAUCGCGGCCAUCACCAGCAUGGGGCCCAUCAAGGACUUAAAAGGGGUACAGAGGGUCAUGGGAUGCCUCGCGGCCCUGAGCCGCUUCAUCUCACGCCUCGGCGAAAGAGGUCUGCCCCUGUACCGCCUUUUAAGGAAAGCCGAGUGUUUCGUUUGGACCCCUGAGGCCGAGGAAGCCCUCGGCAACCUAAAGGCGCUCCUUACAAAGGCGCCAGUCUUGGUGCCACCGGCGGACGGAGAAACCCUCUUGGUCUACGUCGCCGCGACCACUCAGGUGGUUAGCGCCGCGAUUGUGGUCGAAAGGCAGGAGGAAGGGCAUACAUUGCCCGUUCAGAGGCCGGUUUACUUCAUCAGCGAAGUGCUGUCCGAGACUAAGAUCCGCUACCCACAAGUUCAAAAGCUGCUGUAUGCUGUGAUCCUGACGAGGCGGAAGCUACGACACUACUUCGAGUCCCAUCCGGUGACUGUGGUGUCAUCCUUCCCCCUGGGAGAGAUCAUCCAGUGCCGAGAGGCCUCGGGCAGGAUCGCAAAGUGGGCAGUGGAGAUCAUGGGCGAAACGAUCUCGUUCGCCCCUCGGAAGGCCAUCAAGUCCCAAGUGUUGGCGGAUUUCGUGGCUGAAUGGGUCGAUACCCAACUACCAACGACUCCGAUCCAACCGGAGCUCUGGACCAUGUUUUUCGACGGGUCGCUGAUGAAGACGGGGGCCGGUGCGGGCCUGCUCUUCAUCUCGCCCCUCGGAAAGCACUUGCGCUACGUGCUGCGCCUCCACUUCCCGGCGUCCAACAAUGUGGCCGAGUACGAAGCUCUGGUCAACGGAUUGCGGAUCGCCAUCGAGCUAGGGGUCAGACGCCUCGACGCACGCGGUGAUUCGCAGCUCGUCAUCGACCAAGUCAUGAAGAACUCCCACUGCCGCGACCCGAAGAUGGAGGCCUACUGCGACGAGGUUCGGCGCCUGGAAGACAAGUUCUUCGGGCUCGAGCUCAACCACAUCGCUCGGCGCUACAACGAAACCGCAGACGAGCUGGCGAAGAUAGCCUCGGGGCGAACGACAGUCCCCCCGGACGUCUUCUCCCGGGAUCUGCAUCAACCCUCCGUCAAGCUCGACGACGCGCCCGAGCCCGAGGUAUCCUCGGCUCAGCCCGAGGUACCCUCGGCUCAGCCCGAGGUACCCUCGGCUCAGCCCGAGGCACUCUCGGCCCCCGAGGGCGGGGCAUUGAACGUCGAGGAAGGGCAGAGCGGGGCCACGCCAGACCAGGAUUGGCAGGCUCCGUACCUGCAAUAUCUCCGUCGAGGAGAGCUACCCCUCGACCAAGUCGAGGCUCGGCGGGCAGCGCGACGCGCCAAGUCAUUCGUCUUGCUGGGCGACGAAGAGGAGCUCUACCAUCGCAGCCCCUCGGGCAUCCUCCAGCGACGCAUCUCCAUCGCCGAAGGUCGGGAACUGCUGCAAGAAGUACACUCGGGGGCUUGCGGCCACCACGCAGCACCCCGAGCCCUUGUUGGAGAUGCUUUCCGGCAAGGCUUCUACUGGCCAACGGCGGUGGCUGACGCCACUAGAAUUGUCCGCACCUGCGAAGGGUGCCAAUUCUAUGCGAAGCGGACACACCUGCCCACUGACCUGGAAUACGGCUCCCCAAGGGCGAGGGCCUACACCGAGCAAAGCAACCAAGCCAGCCGAGAGGAAUCGCUGGACCAGUUGGAGGAAGCUCGGGACAGGGCCUUACUACACUCGGCGCGGUACCAACAGUCCCUGCGACGUUACCACGCCCGAGGGGUCCGGUCCCGAGAACUCCAGGUGGGCGACCUGGUGCUUCGGCUGCGACAAGACGCCCGAGGGAGGCACAAGCUCACGCCCCCCUGGGAAGGGCCGUUCGUCAUCGCCAAAGUUCUGAAGCCCGGAACAUACAAGCUAGCCAACAAUCAAGGCGAGAUCUACGGCAACGCUUGGAACAUCAAACAGCUACGUCGCUUCUACCCUUAAGAUGUUUUCAAGUUGUUCAUAUACCUCGCACCUACGCAAAGUUUAGUUGUCAAGGAAGGGUCGGCCUAGCCUCGGCAAGGCCCGACCCUCCCUCGGGGGCUAAAAGGGGGGAGACCCCCUCUGCGUCGAAUUUUUUCCUCGAAAAAGGACCUCUUUUUAGCAGGAUUUCUUCCGUGCUUCUUGACUACUUUGGAAAGCGGAUCCUGGAAACGACGAGGUACACGUAAGCAGCCAAGGCUGACCGAGCCGAGGGACUCCUACGCCUCCGGGAUACGGAUACCUCACUCGUCCCCUUCCGCGAUAAGUAACUUGCGCUCGAAUAAAGCGACUCCGUGGACCGAACGAGUCAUCACGUUCGGAAGCUCUCCUGCCGAAGCAGUCCUUCAAGCUUUCUCGACUAAAUCGGGGACAGGGCCUCAUGGACGGGUGAAAGUACGCGUAAGCGGCAAGGCCGACCGAGCCGAGGGAUUCCCACGCCUCUGGGAUACGGAUACCUCACUCGUCCCUUCCGCGAAAAGCAACUCUCGCUCACACAAACAUCCCUAUUUACCGACAGAGUCCAGAUGCUCGAAACAAGAGGAAAAAAGGACGCAGCUUCGCAAGCGCGGCGAGGGCGUGUUCUUCUGGCCUCGGCGGCCGCAGAAAGCGCACGCUACAAGAUGAUCUGAUCCUGCAGGCUCGGGUCUUCACGCCGAAGGGAGCCGUAGCACCCUCGGCAUCGACGACGUCUACAGCAAAGCCCGACCCAGCCUCGGGCGGCGCCGAGGUCCAGGGGCUCCUCCAGGAAUCCGGCCCGAGCAGGCGGCUCAACCGGUUACCCCUGGGGCCUCGGGCAACCGGCUUCCAAGGGCGCUAGCCCGAUCCGAGGCCUCGACUGACCGACUUGGGCGUCGGCACCACUGACGGGCGACACGGCUAGGCUCCGGCCAACCAGGUUCCCCAUUCUCGAGCCAACUCCGCCUCUGUUCAUACUGAUAUCGCUACCCCCGGCCUCGAUCCACCAAAGGGCGGCCGAGGGGUCCCUUCAACUAAGCUAGAGGAGCCCCAGACAACAAGGCCGAACGGGCCGAGGGAUUCCUACGCCUCCGGGAUACGGAUACCUCACCAGUCACCUUGACACGGGGCAACUCAUGCUUGGUAAAGCGGUUCAGAUAAUAAAACAGGCGAGACUUAGUGCUCGGAAAUGGGAAAAAAACACGGCUCCGUGCCGAAAUUACAUACACGUUCAGGCCUCGACAGCCACAAUGAACGAACUCGCUGGCAUUCGAAGUGCCAUUACAAACGGAACUCCGGUUCCCCCUCCGCAGGUACGAACAACCCCACUCCGAGGGGGAAGGCCUGCGGAGCAACGGAAGACCGACGAACGGCGCGCCGUCACCUGCUCCAGCAGUGGCGACAACGGCGACUUCUGCUCCGGGGGGCCGAACAGCGGCAACGCUGACCUCAGGGUGGAUGCCGCUGUCAGGAGGCCCCCGCCCGUGCCAAAACUCGUGAGGCAAGGACGGGCAGAAGGCCGUAGAAGUUGGAGGUCAGCCCGUGGCCGGUCCCGGCCGCCGCGCCGGCGGAAGAACCUCUUCCGGCUGCCGUGGCAGACGCCGACGCCGCAAGGGGCCCCGAAGCCACUCGCGGCUGAAGACCAGGCACGCUGCAGCUGCCGGACGCCACGGGCAAUGCCCGCUUCUCCCCCCACCACUGAGUGAAGGAGCGGGCCACCGCCCACGCAGGGGCCGACCCCAACUCGGCACUCUCCCCUCCCCAGCCUUGGUGAUGAAAAUCCUUGAGGCUGAGGAAGGGGCAGAGGCCGCAGCCCGGCUCGCUUUCCCCCACCAUCAAGCUGGAGGUCGCCAUCUCGGGUGACCGCCGGUGAAGGGGUGCGACCGGGCUGCGUGAUGAAAAUCCUUGAAGCCGAACGAUGGCUGAGAGGUACCAACUCCCAUGGAGUUGCGUUCCUCCAACGAGGAGGCGGAAAGGCGGCGGAUAUCCCCCAUCCGGGGGCUUGGAAGACGGGAAGACCCAGCGCUUAAGGGAGGAAGAAGACAUGGUUGCCUUACGAAAGGAGCCUCCCUCCUUUUAAAGGCAACUCCCCCUGCGUGCGCCCCCAGGCGCCGCGGGCCGAGUCUUCUCCAACACGCUCCAAGGCCCUCCCCUGCGACUCGGGGGCUGGGUCCCGCAUGUCAUGCAAGCCGGCUCAGGGCAGAAGAAGCCAAACCGCCGCGCAUGGUGCGCACGACCGUCCAGCGGUUACAGGCGACCCCCCAUUUCCGCCCAGACCAACGGGCAGAAGGGGCGAGCAGCCAUGCAGGCGGCAUGCAACCGCGCCAGAUGGACGCGCUUCUCCAACUUCUGACACGCCAGCCUGGGGCCCAGGCCCACGCGUCGAGCAAAUGGCACGCCAGUUGCUGCACGCAAGCAACCGCACCGCCACUUGUGCCACCAUCGCGCCUCUUCGGUUGCGAAGCCUAUGCCACGACUCGAGGCGACCCAACAGCGCCAGACUGGCGCGUCGGUCAAAGCGACCGAAAGUGGGCCGGCAGUAAUAGCGGUGGCAGGCGGGCGGGCGCAGCGGUCACGUCGUCAGCCAGGCUCACGUCCCAUCCUGAGACAGCAAGAGAGCCUCCUCUCACGGCGUGAAGACGGUGCACCCGUGACCCGUUCCUCGAACGGAUCACCCGCGCGCAACGGCCGCCCCGCCAACCACUCGCCCCGUCGCAUUAACUCCGCGGCGGGACACGCGGCGCUUCUGGCAGGAGGAGCGCGCGACGCUUCACCUUCGCCUUAAUAACCGCGUCAGAAAAGGUACGCCACGUCGUCUGAUUUCGUAUCCUUUUCCGUUUUCCUCUUUCUCUAUCUCUUGCAACAGGGACCGGGGAAGGGGGAUACCCCGAGAGGGAUCCUUCUCCGCGAAGGAACCGGGCUCCGCGCCCCCCAUUACUGAUCAGGGGUUCGAAGGCUGGCCCCCCGAGGGUUCAACAGCCGCCUCAGAUCGCGUGGGCCCGACACCCACUACUGGUCAGGGGUUCGAAGGCCGGCCCUCCGAAGGGCUCCACGGCCGCCUCAGGCUACUCGGGCUCCGCGCCCAUUACUGAUCAGGGGUUCGAAGGCUGGCCCCUGAAGGGUUCACAGUCGCCUCAGACACCGAGCGAGGGAUGACCAGGGGUACGUUCGAUACAUAACCGAGGCUCGGGCUGCGCUCCCGAGGUACCCUAGGACAUAUCCGAGACCAGCGGGAACGAUCUUGUAACGGAAUCCCAUCGGAGGGAGGCAUCGAGCCCUCGGACCCCGUCGCCAGGGGACCGGGUCCGGCAAGUCACCCGCAGGUACUUUUGGGCGUGCCUCUGGGCCCCUAGCCGACCCCCAACGAACGGGGCACGGACGUCCACUCGGAUUACCCGCUUGCAGCUCACCGGAGACACCAUGUUCGGUGCCCAUCGAGGGUAACAUGGCGCACUCCCCCCUCCUCCUUGCGGAAAGGCGACGUAGGGGCGUAUGUAAAAAGCCGAGUCUGUCCCUGAUCGUCCUCUCGCCCUGUGCAGAGGCUCGGGGGCUGCUCUCGCAAAAACCGGCUCCGGCCAAAUCGUUGACAGCGUCAACAUACCAGCCCGAGAGCUUGGGCCCCGACCGUGCACCCGGGCUACGGCCAGUUCGCAUGAGGGAACGACCAGACCAGCCGAAGCGUUAAGCGAAGUAUUAAGACCUCGAAGGAGUGUAACCACUCCUCCGAGGCCUCGGGGGCUACACCCGGCGGGUGCGCUCGCGCGCACCCACCGGAACGAAAUGCAACCGAGAAAGGCUGGUCCCCUUGCAAAAAAGUGCGACGAAAGCCUCCAAGCGAGUGCUAACACUCCCUUCGAGGCUCGGGGGCUACUGUCGGGGACCAUAAUUAGGGGUACCCUCAAGACGCCUAAUUCUCAGCUGGUAACCCCCAUCAGCAUAAAGCUGCAAAGGCCUGAUGGGCACGAUUAAGUCAGGGAUCAGUCCACACGAGUGACUCGAUCACGCUUCACCCGAGCCUAGCCUCGGCCGAAGGCAGCCGACCUCGAGAGACUUCCGUCUCGCCCGAGGCCCCCUUUUUAUGGCGGACACAUCACCGGCUUGCCCAAGGCCUUGGCUUCGCUCAGAAGCAACCUUGACUAAAUCACCACACCGACUGACCAAAUUGCAGGGGCAUUUAACGCAAAGGUGGCCUGGCACCUCUAUCCUGACACGCGCCCCCGGCAGAGCCGAGGUGACCGCCGUCACUCCACCGCUCCACUGGCCAGUCUGACAGAAGGACAGCGCCGCCUGCGCCACUCCGACUGCAGUGCCACUCGACAGAGUGAGUCUGACAGGCAAUUAGGCCUUGCCAAAGGCGCCACGGCGAACUCCGCUCCGCCCGACCCCAGGGCUCGGACUCGGGCUAAGACCCGGAAGACGGCGAACUCCGCUCCGCCCGACCCCAGGGCUCGGACUCGGGCUAAGACCCGGAAGACGGCGAACUCCGCUCCGCCCGACCCCAGGGCUCGGACUCGGGCUAAGACCCGGAAGACGGCGAACUCCGCUCCGCCCGACCCCAGGGCUCGGACUCGGGCUAGGACCCGGAAGACGGCGAACUCCGCUCCGCCCGACCCCAGGGCUCGGACUCGGGCUAAGACCCGGAAGACGGCGAACUCCGCUCCGCCCGACCCCAGGGCUCGGACUCAGGCUAAGACCCGGAAGACGACGAAACUCCGCCUCGCCCGACCCCAGGGCUCGGACUCCGCCCUGGCCUCGGCCGGACGACUUCCGCCUCGCCCGACCCCCUGGCUCGGGCUCGGCCACGGCAACUGAAGGCAAGACUCAACCUCGGCUUCGGAGGAAACCCCACGUCGCCCUGCCUAGAGCACAGACCGCCACGUCAACAGGAAACGUCAUCAUCACCCUACCCCGAAUCGACUCGGGUCACGGAGAACAAGACCGGCGUCUCGUCCGGCCAGCUCCGCCAGAGGGGCAAUGAUGGCGCUCCACGAGCUCUAUGACGACGGCGGCCCCCAGCUCUCUUACGGCAGCAGGACAACGUCAGCAGGGACUCGACCGCUCCAACAGCUGUCCCUCCAUCAGGCUCCGUCGCACCUCCGAUAGCCACGACAUCACGCCAGCAGGAUGCCCAGAUCUCUCCGGCUGCCACAUCGGCAUGUACCUAGGGCACUAGCUCUCCCUCCGCUAGACACGUAGCACUCUGCUACAUCCCCAUUGUACACCUGGAUCCUCUCCUUACAACUAUAAAAGGAAGGACCAGGGCCUUCUCAGAGGAGGUUGGCCGCGCGGGACCGAGGACGGGACAGGCGCUCUCUUGGGGCCGCUCGCUUCCCUCACCCGCGUGGACGCUUGUAACCCCCCUACUGCAAGCGCACCUGACCUGGGCGCGGGACGAACACGAAGGCCGCGGGACUUCCACCUCUCUCACGCUCGGCUCCGGCCGCCUCGCCUCUCCCCCCUCCGCGCUCGCCCACGCGCUCGACCCAUCUGGGCUGGGGCACGCAGCACACUCACUCGUCGGCUUAGGGACCCCCCUGUCUCGAAACGCCGACAUCUAUUUAGCUUCUUCAACAUCUUGGUGGUCUUCCUUACCAUCAAGGCAAUGUUUGCAUCAAGGUCAUCAUCACUUGAGGACUCUUCCUCAACUUGUAUUUUUGCUUUUCCUUUUCUUUCAUGAUUUGCUUUGAGAGCCAAAUCCUUUCUUUUGGAAGAUGAUUCUUCUUUGUCGUUGAUGUGCAUGUACAUUUCAUGGGCAUUGAUCUUUCCCAAAAUUUGUGUAGGUGUGGUAACUGAAAGAUCCAUUUGAUGUAGCACAGUGACAAUGUGUCCAUAUUUGUCUAUUGGGAGGACACUGAGAAUCUUCCUCACAACAUCCGGUUGUGAGAUUUGAGUAAGCCCCAAUCCAUUGACUUCCUCUACAAGAAUAUUAAGUCGUGAGUACAUAGCGUUUGCAUUUUCAUUAGUAAGCAUUUCAAAAGAAUUUAACUUUCGCAUGGCUAUGUGAUAUCUUUCCUCACGUUCACUUCUAGUUCCUUCGUGUAGAGCACAAAUGUCCAUCCACAAAUCAUGAGCAUUUUUAUGAUUCCGUACUCUAUUGAACACAUCUUUGCAAAGGCCUCUAAAAAGGGUGUUUUUGGCCUUCGCAUUCCAUUUCUCAUAAUUGAACUCAUCACCUACAAGAUUUGUGGGAUCUCUAGGUUGNNNNNNNNNNNNNNNNNNNNNNNNNNNNNNNNNNNNNNNNNNNNNNNNNNNNNNNNNNNNNNNNNNNNNNNNNNNNNNNNNNNNNNNNNNNNNNNNNNNNNNNNNNNNNNNNNNNNNNNNNNNNNNNNNNNNNNNNNNNNNNNNNNNNNNNNNNNNNNNNNNNNNNNNNNNNNNNNNNNNNNNNNNNNNNNNNNNNNNNNNNNNNNNNNNNNNNNNNNNNNNNNNNNNNNNNNNNNNNNNNNNNNNNNNNNNNNNNNNNNNNNNNNNNNNNNNNNNNNNNNNNNNNNNNNNNNNNNNNNNNNNNNNNNNNNNNNNNNNNNNNNNNNNNNNNNNNNNNNNNNNNNNNNNNNNNNNNNNNNNNNNNNNNNNNNNNNNNNNNNNNNNNNNNNNNNNNNNNNNNNNNNNNNNNNNNNNNNNNNNNNNNNNNNNNNNNNNNNNNNNNNNNNNNNNNNNNNNNNNNNNNNNNNNNNNNNNNNNNNNNNNNNNNNNNNNNNNNNNNNNNNNNNNNNNNNNNNNNNNNNNNNNNNNNNNNNNNNNNNNNNNNNNNNNNNNNNNNNNNNNNNNNNNNNNNNNNNNNNNNNNNNNNNNNNNNNNNNNNNNNNNNNNNNNNNNNNNNNNNNNNNNNNNNNNNNNNNNNNNNNNNNNNNNNNNNNNNNNNNNNNNNNNNNNNNNNNNNNNNNNNNNNNNNNNNNNNNNNNNNNNNNNNNNNNNNNNNNNNNNNNNNNNNNNNNNNNNNNNNNNNNNNNNNNNNNNNNNNNNNNNNNNNNNNNNNNNNNNNNNNNNNNNNNNNNNNNNNNNNNNNNNNNNNNNNNNNNNNNNNNNNNNNNNNNNNNNNNNNNNNNNNNNNNNNNNNNNNNNNNNNNNNNNNNNNNNNNNNNNNNNNNNNNNNNNNNNNNNNNNNNNNNNNNNNNNNNNNNNNNNNNNNNNNNNNNNNNNNNNNNNNNNNNNNNNNNNNNNNNNNNNNNNNNNNNNNNNNNNNNNNNNNNNNNNNNNNNNNNNNNNNNNNNNNNNNNNNNNNNNNNNNNNNNNNNNNNNNNNNNNNNNNNNNNNNNNNNNNNNNNNNNNNNNNNNNNNNNNNNNNNNNNNNNNNNNNNNNNNNNNNNNNNNNNNNNNNNNNNNNNNNNNNNNNNNNNNNNNNNNNNNNNNNNNNNNNNNNNNNNNNNNNNNNNNNNNNNNNNNNNNNNNNNNNNNNNNNNNNNNNNNNNNNNNNNNNNNNNNNNNNNNNNNNNNNNNNNNNNNNNNNNNNNNNNNNNNNNNNNNNNNNNNNNNNNNNNNNNNNNNNNNNNNNNNNNNNNNNNNNNNNNNNNNNNNNNNNNNNNNNNNNNNNNNNNNNNNNNNNNNNNNNNNNNNNNNNNNNNNNNNNNNNNNNNNNNNNNNNNNNNNNNNNNNNNNNNNNNNNNNNNNNNNNNNNNNNNNNNNNNNNNNNNNNNNNNNNNNNNNNNNNNNNNNNNNNNNNNNNNNNNNNNNNNNNNNNNNNNNNNNNNNNNNNNNNNNNNNNNNNNNNNNNNNNNNNNNNNNNNNNNNNNNNNNNNNNNNNNNNNNNNNNNNNNNNNNNNNNNNNNNNNNNNNNNNNNNNNNNNNNNNNNNNNNNNAACCUAAUGCUGAUACAUGGAACAUACAUAGCAGUGGGGAACUUGUUUGUUUUUUAAAAAAGAAAAAGAAAUGCUAAGGGCAGGACCUUCGGAUUUGAAGGUGUUGAAGAACAGCGAAACAUUGUUAUAGCCUUACAGGGCACGUUCACUCUGAAAACGCUGACCGAUCCGUUGCUGCCUGCAGUCCGGCUGUUUCGGCAAGAACCACUUUAUAUUGUGCCAAAAAGAAGAAAAAAAUAAGCAUGUCGGGCCCAGGCUUAAAGGGCCAUAUAAAAGACUUCUCCAUGUCUCGGUGGCCCACGAGAGCUGAAGCGGCAGAAGAACGCGUUCGUCCGGUCCGGUGUGAGCUUUUAGCACCACCUUGCCUGGCGAAGGCAGACGCGACGCGCGCUUGCGCUAUAAGAUGAGCGUCCCGUGCUCCUGUCUUCCAUACUUACCUGGACGGGAUCAACGGGCGAACAAGAAGGCCUGUGGUCUAGGUCAGUGGUCCGCAUUGCACGUGGCGGGUGCGCUGGCCUACCAUCUCCCCAAGUGGGAGAGUGGACGUCAUAAUUUGUGGCAGAGGGGUACGCGUCCGCGCGGCCCUGCGAAAUAGAUUUAAUUUAUGUCUGGUGUUUCGCGUCAAAUAUAAGAAAUUAAAAUUAGGUCUCGUAGGUCUUUCGAAUGUGGUCAUAGACCUCUGCUGGUCCAGAUCCAGCCAUUGAACUGGUGCAGUAAUUGCAUGAUGUGCUAAAAAUGAGCUUGGAAUAAACUGCUAAAAAACUAUGAAUUUUACUCAGUAAACUUCCCAGGCACUUUGCUAGCAGAUGUUUCAGUACAGCAAGGAACUUGAGAAGAGACCCGAGGAACCAUGUAGGUAGAUAGUUUUCAAGUGCUCUAGUCCUGAACAAAACAACAAGAUGCGCGGUCCCCGAUUGGAACCAUGUAGGUAGAUAGUUUUCAAGUGCUCUAGUCCUGAACAAAACAACAAGAUGCGCGGUCCCCGAUUGGAAAUAUUGACCUCAAUUAGGAAUAUUGAUAUCAUUGCCUGCAGGUGGGAUCUGUUGCGCGGUCCCCGAUUGGGAAUAUUGACCCCGAUUGGGAAUAUUGAUAUCAUUGCCUGCAGGUGGGAUCUGUUGCGCGGUCCCCGAUUGGGAAUACUGACCCCGAUUGGGAAUACUGAUAUCAUUGCCUGCAGGUGGGAUCUGUUGCAGUAUUCAAUGAAUAAGUAUCAAUCUCUUCUCUGCGGUUCUGGGGAAGCGGUUGUAUGUCUGGGUCCUGGGCCAAGUAGAUUGAUCGUUUGUUUGAUAUUCCCGCUAGAAUAUUUUCCAAGAAGGAAUCCGGGGAUGUCCAUGAUUCGAGUGAUAUUGGCGCUCCACUUUCAUAUGGGAUCUCUUUCGUAUUGGAUGUGGAUGGGUCUAGAGAAUGGCAUGGCCUGUACUUGUUGUGAGGAAGCCCACCUGUUGCGAAGAAUAGGAUCCAUCCCGUUGCCAAAGAAGAGGUUGCUUGUCAAAGAAGAGGCUGGUAUCGGCUUUCCCUAGUGCUCCCUGGCAAUAUUUCCACAAGAUGCCCGUAUACAGAUUUGAAAGAAUUUCAUGAAUGAGAUCAUUUCUGUUGCGAGGAAUGCCAUUGGCAGUCAACUCUUGACUCGUAUCUUGAGAAUGGACGCUGGCCUAAACCCCUCUUUGGAGUAGGCCUACCUUUCUAAGGCUGUCUACAACAAUGUCCUCUAAAUUUCGUUCUCUAAAAGAAUAUUCUCUGUCCUUUACAGCACUCCCUAAAAAAUUUCGUCCUCUAUAUAUUCUCAAUCUCCAGCAACGUUCUCUAAAUUCGGUCCUCUAUAUCUACAGUGUUGACAGAAUUUAGAAACUAUCAUAUUUAUUCUAUCUUUUGCAUAUAAUUUGAAUUUGUCCUAAUGUACUUAAUUCAAAAAACCUAAUUAACAUUUUGCGCUACGUCACUUUUUUAGCAUAUAUAUUAAUUAAAAAACUAAUAACGAGCUGUAUGUUCAUGUUUUUUUGGCUGUUUUCGUUUGCUUGUCCUCCACCUAGCCUUUUUCUUUGGCCGAACACGCUACAGCCUACAACACCAGACCAAGCUGUCGCUCCUCGAUUCCAUUCAUGGCCGCCGCCGCCGCUCCUCAGAUCUCUGUCCAUGGCUAGCGCCACCUCCACUCGGUCGUCUGCUACAAACGCCACUGCCUCUCUUCCCAACAACGACUCCUUUCUCCAACCAAGCCCAAGAAAUCGAUGCUCGCGUUUGGCCGGAUGAAGCGACUCCGUGCGCUGCUGGUCGACGGCGGCGUGCUCCAUGGUCAUCGCCGCCGCCGCCGCCGCCACCUCCCAAGUCCGUGCUCGAUUUCACAGGAAGGACAGAUAGCGGACGCACAGUGAAUCGCUGAGAAUAGCGUGUACGAACAUCGUCCGGUACUUUAGCGACUGGUUUAGCCUUCGUUGCUGGAGGAUGUAGCGGACGCUUGGAUCGCUAAAUUUAGCGUACAGGAGUGUAUAGAGUUUGUUGUUGAAGACAACCUAAUCUAACAAGUGAAUACUAAAUACUUACUAAACUAAACUAAACAAAGUAGUAGAUUUCUUCCGUCACAGCUCUGCAGCUGUCCCUCACCAAUGUCAAAGAUAGGCCACGGAUUACAUUCAAGGGAUAUCUUGCUGAUCAGUGCGAUAGGACGUGGUAGUCAUUGCUUUAUCUUGAUUGCCGCAUAUUAUGGUUCCCAUACAACACAUUACUGACAGAGUGGUCUGAAAUUCUUAUCUUCUAUGAUGCAGGCAUUCCAAUUCCAAUCAAAGCUUGAACUAUUUCAAGGUCAGAUGCAAUUGCAGAUCCCAAGUACUAGCAACCAUUUGUCCUCCCCCUUGGGCUGCAUUUUUUGCAGCUACUGUAUUUGGGAUGGUUGCCAGAAAUAAGGACGAAUUAUUCACGCAAAUCAUAUUCAGAAGUGAGCUAAGGCAGACCUGAAAACAGUCAAUGGAGUAAUGCGAUGUUCCCAUGGCUCUGUCGUUGCAGGAGCAGAAGACUGGAAGGUACGAGCCAACUUGAAAGGAACAAUCCUUCUCUGAACCAUGAGCAGAUGCUUCUUCCUUUGUACUGUACAGUACAGUACUGUACUUACUGCGAAUGUGAUGGUUCGAUGAAACUAUGGCCGCUUGACUUCCAUAUCAGACUGUGGCCAAGAUGUAUGUCCUGUACAUUAGUAAGCUCGGAUGGUACCCAUGCUGCUGAUGCAGUUUCUGUAGCAUUUGUUUCCGUUGACAUAAAACUAAGAUUGUAGAAUUCUGGUUAGAGGCAAGCAUGAUGUACAAGUGAAUGUCUUGAACCAUUCCAAAGUCCAUUCAGUAGCAUUUGUCAAUGUUCAUCUUGACAAUGUUAAUGAGUACCGCUGCACAGGCUGACAUCUUCCAGGAAUUAUAUAUGAGGUACAGAAAGUCGACCCUCGUUGCCGUCUGUGUUCUGAAUUUUGAGGGUUUCCUUUAGCUUGUUUGUUGUAUGUUGGUUGCACAGAAAGGUUUUAAAGGUUAAUACACUACACAGUGAUCAGACUGGCUCAAAAACUGCCUACCUUUGAUUCGGAGCUCAAACUUUGGCUGAUAAUGAUGCACUAGUUGUACUCUAAAAAAACAUAUUACUGGCUGACAAAUUAGAAUUCUUUAAUAUGUUUUUGGCUGAUAACGAAUAGAGCACGGAUUUAUACAACUUAUCUUUGUUGAGAGCAAUUUUCACAACCAGUUGUAGUACUCUGGAAAUAUUAGUGCGGCCAACAGACACUACACAUUGAGUGAAAAUAGGCACGCAGACCUCAUUGUUAGAGUUAAAAACACGGAUCAUACGCUGCAUACAUUUACCUUGGUUAUUGAUUAUAGACAAUAGCUAAAAGUAGUAGGUGCAAUUAAGUGCAAAAACGACCGACAGUAUAUACAGACAAAUUCGAGAGAGAGAGAGAGGCAAGCACUAUACCAAAUCCAGAGGAUGUAGGUAGGCCGAUAGCAGACUAUGUGAUGUGAGAAUACAAAGCGACACAAGCACCGAUUGGGCGCAUACAGACAUCCGCUCAUGUUUCAGUUUUCCCCGCCUAGAGGAGCCCGGCCAGCGCGCCGGAACCACGUCUUGAAUGCCGUGACCAGAUGCGGGCAGUCAUCGACAUUGCGAGUCGAGAACCCCAGGCAUUGCUGCAGCAGCUCCUGUGCUUCUAGAAAAGGCAAUGUGGAGAUGAUCUGAAGAAACGCCCCCUCCAGCUCUUGGCAGUUGGUUGAUUUCUGGGAGUGCAUUGGUUGAACAAUGUCCCGGCAGACGUUUAGGACAGGGAGCCAGCUUCUGACGAGCAUCCUCCUCACCUGAUGAAAAGACAUGUAGAGCAGUUUCAGAUACAAAGAGAAACACAACUUCGUAAGUUAUUAUCAGAAUUGAGAUAGCAGGUUCCAUUUGACAAGAAUAAGAUACCAAAGUACUGCCGCAUUGCUCAAAGGAAACACCAGUCGGUAGAUACACAACAUAUAAGCCAGGACAAAAAGGGCCACAGAGGCCAAGCCAUAUACUGUGGAUGAACGAACGAAGGGGGGAAAAUGAACAUCAAAGAGACAGAGAUGUAGCCAAUUCAAAGAGUUGUGCUUCAUCAAAACAAAUAAACAAACCACAAGCAGGAGGCUACUUACUGGAGCAUGACAUGCCAAAUACAUAAAAAACGAGUUCAACAAUUUGAACUGUCAUCUUCAACAUAUAACAGUAAUCAAAGAGUCCUUAGUUAUUCAUAAAAAGAUUAUGUGAUGUCCUGAAAACCAAUUACGAACUCUGCAAUUUUAGCAAAGCGUACAAUAAGUUUUUGGCAGAAACCUACAGAGUAGUCUCUUCAGCAAACUAAACAUAUUAUAACCUGCAGCUACAUACUGCUUCAUUUACUGGAAAACAUGAUGUAAAUAUUAGUCAUGUGAUAAAAAGGGCAACAAUUGACAAAUGGAGUGCGCAAUAUUCUGGGAAAGCCUUUUAUAGGGAAAGGCCAUCAACUUGCUUAAGUUUAGAAAAGCAAGCAUGUCCUUGGACAUAAUUAGUUUGGAGCCUUCAUGCAACAGUUAGAUUUUAUGAUGACAAAAAUACUGGUGGUGUUUCUUUUUUAGACGUCGGCAGUGAUCUAGCCUUGCUGACAAAUCUGAAAAAAGAUCUGAGCGUUUUAGUUUGCUUGGCCGACCGAGAAAAAAAGUUCAGUCAGAUUUUUAUUCAAUCGUAUCGUCUUGUAUACUUUCUCUAGGAAGGACAAAGAUUAAGCAAUAAUAGUCCCAAGGAUUUUAUGAGCAAGGUCUGAACUGUUUCUAUUAGAGAGACAAUUCAACAUAUCCUAGUUUCUUGUGUGUUCUCUAGACAGGUCUGGGCUGCAGUCUUGCACAAGCUUGGUCUAUCGGCUGCUGCCCCUCUGCCUGACGCUAACAGUUUCUACAUAUGGUGGAGCCAGGCUGUCAAGGAAGUUCCAAAGGAAUUUAAUACUGUGAUCAUCUUGGUUGCCUGGGAGGUUUGGAAACACCGGAAUGCCUGUGUUCGAAGGGGCAAAACCAUGUUUCCAGGCUGUUAUGCAGGCUGUGUCCAAUACCAGCAGCAUUUGGUGUAUGGCUGGAGCUUCUGCGCUACAUUCCUUGCUCCUGCAGUCGCUCACUCCGGAUUUUAAUCCGUGAGUCAUGGUCUUUAGGACAGGGUCGAGUCUUUUUGUAAAUCCGACGAGUCUGUAAAGACUCUUUUGUUCAGAAGUAGGUGCUAUCCCUCUCCUUUUGUAACCCACCUUUUUCUUUCUUAAUGAAAUGACACGCAGCUCUCCUGCGUAGUCCGAGAAAAAAAGUAGAAACAUAAGGAACCCUGAAGGGAGAAUACAAAAGGUUAAACAAUGACACAUUUUUAGAAGAAGCAAUUGGAUUAGAGGUGAAUGAGUAGACAAAGCAACAAAGGGCUCACACAAGAAACCAUGGCCCACAAUGUGUUCAGUGUUUUUAGACAACCUCUACGGAACCAAAUAUACUAUGUCCAAUUUUCUCAUUAGACUCCUAAGUAAAGCAAAAAAUUAUUGAAUUAUUCAACAAUCCUAACCCUCUUAUCACUGAAAUCAUCUCCUAGCUUAAAGGACAGACCUAGUGCCGGAGGCAAGUGGGGUCUAAAUAAGGAUAAACUGAGGCAGGCCUUCCCCGCAAAUAGGGAGAGACUACUUCGAACCCGUGACCUGGUGACUCAAUAAGACAGCUUUCACCAGAAUAAGGCCUGCCCAUCAGCUCUUAACCUAAAGCUUCUCCUUAGAUCUCUUCUCUCUCUCUCUCUUUUUUGCCUGUAGCAUAAACCUCUGGUCUAAAUUCAAUCCAGAUUCAUGAUUAAUUAACGAAAGAUAUCUUUAUCUUUCUUUCAGCCCUUGACCAUCAAUAACUCCAAUUAGAAUAACAUUUAAAUACCUGAAACUUAAUCUUUAUUGGAAUCACUCCUAUAUAUUCAUUCAGUAGAUAAUCACACUCCCGAGUCAACAUUAAAACACUUAUACAGGUUGUAUUACCAAAACAUGACAAUACAAUCUACACCAUUAAUAGUUGGUUAAUUGAGAAUUGAAACUCACAUCAAACAUAGAUCACUCUUUAAAUAUUAACUCUUUCAUCAGUCCGACCUGUCACUGAUUAAUCUUGUUCACAAACUAUUAAUCUGUUUAAUGCACACAAAUAAGACACAAAGCUAAUCAGGGGGGAGAGGGGGGGGGGGGCAGACCCAGUCGAAGGCUCCCACAUGAGUGGGAAAAGACACAAGCUAAUCGAUAUAUCAGUAUAUACUGAAAGGAAACAUAUUAGGUGAAAACCAACACAUUGACGGAGGUCAAAGGGUGUAUUUGAAAAUAUACCAGGAGAGGUGGAAGAGUCGUUUUGAAAGCUGAUGAACGGUGGGAGGGUUGAAAAAUUAUCAUGACUAAUUGUAUGGUUUGCACCCGAUACGUUCCCAUACUCAUAAAAGAUGGUUUUGCUCUGUGAUUUGAUACACUACCAAACACCUAUGAAAAUUAUGAUUGGUCAAUACUAUCAACCCUAAUUACCAAACAAUAUGGUAGAGACCUUCUAGACUUCUUAGAUCACACCCAACAGAGAUACCCACUGAGGCCCUGAUAGCCUGAUGAGUUAUAUGAAGUCAUUAUUAAACAUAUUUCUUGAUUUUAAUAAAUUAACCAUAAGGAGUAGGAUAAGAUUAUGAUAUAUCUUACUAGUAAUUAAUGGUCAAAGUGCAUGGAAAACAGCUAUCCAUGUGUCCGAACCUUGACUUAUAGGUUCUUUUCGGUUUUUAACUCGAACCUACGGACCUACCCAACUUGCUUGGAAUAAAAGGCUUUGUUGUCGUUGCUGCUGCUGUUGUUGUAAUCAAUGGUCAAAGUAGUAUGCCGGUGACCAUGUCAGUGCCCACAUUGAUGCACUAUUAGAAUUGGAAAGAGUGCUCCAAAAAAUCUGUGCUUCCUUUUUCAUCUAUCCAUUAUAUUGAGUGGAAGUAGAUUCCACUUCAAUUCAGGAGCUCAAACAAAUUUAUGACUGAAGUAAGGAUCAAUCUAGAACUUCUCAAAAGAACAUACUCAGAUAAAUCAAGAUACAUUACAUAUCAACAAAGUUAUCUUGCAAAGCCAACACUGUAUCGGCACAAUAUAGAACCUACUUUCGUUGUACUGAGACAUCAACAAAAACAGUAUGCAAGCCAUGUCUGGCCUUUUCAGGCUUACCUAUAAGCAAUCGAACACAUUAGGUACUAAUUUGUAUUAUGAGAAAAGAUGAAUAAAACACAUGCAUUGGCUUAUAAUAAUGGAACAUUCCAUUAAAAAGUCUUAUAAGCUGUGGCAAGUUAAACCAUUAUAACAGAGCACAGUAUUAUAUUGACAUAAUAUCAACUUCUUUUCAAAAGAAGGAAAUAACAUGCAGGUAGCAUCUUCUAAGUUCUAACUGAAUUGUCACAUUUAUAAUAUACUCCCCAGUUUCAAUUUAUAGGUCGUAUUGGCUUUUCUAGAUACACAGCUUUUAUUACCUUCACAAGAUACAGGCAUACAGCAUGCAUAAAGUUGGUGCAAUAGAAAGAUUAUUAUCAGUUAGUAGACUAACCUGCCGAGGUACCAGAGUCUCCCCAGUGAUGACUGAAUUGGCGAGCUUGAGUGUGCAACGAGUCACAAGCAUUGGAAGCCCAGGCGUCAUGUUCCGCCACAUGUCUGCAUCAUUCAGCAACUUCUGCAAAUCAGUAGCCAGGGCAGCUUGAUCACUCCACAGCGUCACCGCAUUAUCUGCCACCCUCAGAUCGACCAUCCUCUCGAUGAGCCAAUACAGGUGUUUCACAUUCAACACCGCAGACUGCAGGUUAAGCCUCUGUAUGGCCUCGCGUUCAUCACUGUCCACCGCAACCCUGAAAUCCGGGCUAGCGUACUUCCCCAUGAGUUCCUUGAUUGUGUCCAGGCGCGACUGAAAUGCCUCGUCGAGCACCUUGUGGACGCAGUUCCGCGACGGAUAGUCCUUAAGGAGCAUCGCUACGAACGCCUUGGUGGCAGCGUGGACGGGGUGGCCAUGGAUCGCCGAGUGGAUCAGGCCGUGCAGCAUCGCCUCGGAGGGCGACCUGGGGGCCACCCCCGCAGCGGAAGGGCCGGCGGCGACGGGAGGAGGAGAAACCCUGGCGAGCAGGUCGGCUGCCUCAUCGGCGGGGAGGAGCCGCGCCAGGUCGAUGAUGCGGGCCUCCUCGUCCUCGGACCAGGGCACGGCCUCGAGGAAGCGGAUGCAGGCCUCGACGCAGGCGUCGAAGAGGAGCAGGAGUGCGAUGGGGAGGAGGUCGAGGGCAUCGUCGGGGGAGCGGAUGGCACCCGCGAAAUCGAGAGUGUGGAGGAGGCGGAGCACCUCGAUGUGGGCAUCGAACGGGCGGGGACAAGAGGGGGGCGCCACCACCGCGAGGGAGAGGCGGCCAGUCGCGGCGGUGGGCCAGCGGUCGGAAAGGAGGGCGGCGAAGUAGCGGGAGCGGAGGAGGGACGCGGACGAGACGUGCAGGUCGACGAAGGUUCCGGAUGAGACGGCUGCGGAGAGGUGGCGGUCGAUGUCGGGCUUGACGUCCACGUCGUCGGGGGAGGAGGGGUUGAGGAAGAGGCGGAGGACGACGUCGGCGUUGGGGAAGGUAUGCGGGUUGGGAGAGCUGGAAGUAGACGGGGGAGCGGGAGGGGACGGUGGCGAGCAGAAGGCGGUGAGGCGGGAGCUGCUCGCCGAGCGCUGGCGCUUGCGGAGGGACAUCGCCGUCGGCGUCGAUGUCGGUAAUUGGGGAUUUAUUUCCUUUUCUCUUUGGGGUGGGGAUAGUUGAGAGGCCGCGAGGGGGUACGGCCAAUGCGUCAGUUGCGCGCUUGAAAUUGGAAGGGACACGCAGAGGGGAUUCAGAUUAGGUUGUCCCUAACAACCGUUCUCUAUAUUCAUUAUUUAUAUUGGUUCUUUAUCGUCUUCUCUAAAAGAUUUUAUCAUUUAUAUCUGCUUUCUCUCGAACAACAUCCUCUAAAUCACGUCAUCUAUACGUAAAUACAUAUAUUAGAGACAUUUUUUAUUUUUUUUAAAUACGCAUUUGUCAUACUCUCAAAUGUAUUGUACAUAUUUUAGUUUUGCUAAACCGAUUAUUUAAAGUAUUCAAAUGGAAUUAGAACCGUUUAGAUAAACUAUAUAGAGAGAGAAUCCAACAAUAUUCUCUAAAUUUAUAGGACCAUUUAGAAAACGCUGCUGGAGAGAGUAGAUAAUUAUUUGAUCCUCUAUAUUUAGGAUAGAGGAACAUUUGGCGGCCUUUGUUGGAGCAAGCCUUAGGAUGAGGAUCCGUACAUGAAACCUGAUCCUGGUCUAAUAAAUUUUCCGAGGUUAUGUUACAUUUCCUUUUCUUUUGACUUAUGUUGAAUUUUGUUUUCCCGUGCUCGAAGUGUUGGCAUACACACGCAAGGGCGGACCCAAAAAUUAGUUGUGCCCCCGACCGCCUUGAGCACCUGUUUCGAUAGUCGUUUCACGUCAUAAUAACAAAAACUCACUCAGUUUUCGUUCAAAACAACCUGUAGUACUCCUCUCCCUUCCUUUCUCUCUGUGCCAGAUUCACGUGUAAGCAAUGACAUAUGUUUUACUCCAGUCAUCGUCCUCCCCAUAUCUCCCGCUGCGCCGAAUUAACCCCCCACCCUCGCGCGCCCGUAGGCAUCUCACAGCUACCACCACGCGGAUCGAAUGAAGACUUGUCCGAUGAAAGCCUUAUCUACUACGCAUUCGUUAUCAACAUCGGGCUACAAAAGGGAGGAGGCGAGAUCAGGUCCACCAAGUAGUCUCGUCGGACUUAUCAAGCGACGGCGGCGUGCAACGGCCUGGGGGAGAGCAGGCAUACUGAUGGUGAUAGAGGACGAGGACAACAAGCUGCCGACAUUCGUGGGUUACUCUUCAUCGUGCGGUCCUCAAGCACCAGGUCCAGAGACGAGCGAGAGUUGGAGCCCGCUUUCCCCGGCCUAUGGCGCCUACGACUAGCUAUCGCCACCCAAUCCAUAUGGCCGCGGGAUUCCAUGGUCGCGCGUCAAUCGACCCUGAUCUGUACGGCCAGCCUCUGCCCGGUCCACGUAUGUGUGGGCCUGGGAUGCCUACGAUUGUAGCGAUGAAGGCUAGCACCCCCACGUGGGGACGGGUAUGGCAACAUCGUCCACGUCGCACACAAUGUCGGCGCUGAGAGGCCUCACUACGGCGGCUAGGCGGUGCCUACAUACGUGGUGGCUCCAAAGGUAUAUACUUGCACUUGCAUAUCUUGUUAAUUGACCUUUACCCUCUGGUAUGUUAAUUGUGUUCUACAUUAUAUUUCCAGCACGAUUGAACAUAGCUAUAAUGCAAGCUGCAAGUCAUUUUGCAAUUUUAACUUUUUUCAGAAAUAUGUAGGAUGCAGAGCCUAUCAGCCUAACCUUCCAAUGUUGGAAGAUAAGGAUGGGCUAAUACUGGAAAUUGACGAUUUUGAGCUCCUAACUGCAUGGAAGUUAAAGUACAUUUAUCUUUACUAUAUUUCCUACAAUUGGUUGCUCAUAUUUCAUAGUUUCUGAUGAUCAUUAGUUUAGACUUUAGAGUGAAGGUUUGCUUGUAAUUUUUUUGGACGUCAAAAACUAAAAGGCUUGGGUUCGGCAUCAAGGAUGUUGGUGCCCAUAGGUGCAUACUACUGUUGCUUCAUAUAAUCUGAAUCCAUUUCGAUUUCAGUUUGUGCAAUAGUUGUUAGAUAGCAGCAGAACUCGUAGCUUGAGGAUGCACUGUUGCAGAUUUUAAUCCUUACAUUUUUGAGCCAAUUUUUGGGUAGCAGCAUAACAUGUAGUUGUUGUUUGUUCUGUGUCGCAUGAGCGUAGAGUUGGCUAGGGCGAACAAUCUCAUAGUUGUUGUUUGUUCUGUGUCGAACGAGCGUAGAGUUGGUUGGCAUGAAGUGGACAAUGCUAGGCAUCCAUUGUAGCCUAUUCGUUUGACUUUAAUCUGCACCGGCUUCUACUAUUUUUAGCUUCUACUACUUGUAGAGUGUUUUGUCUUUAUGGAUUACACCUGCAGCGGCCCAAACUGCUCAGUUUAAUCUGAAGCUAGCCAUUGUAACCUAUUUGUUUAGUUUUAAUCUGUACCGUCUUCUACUACUUGUAGAGUAUUUUGUCUCUAUGGAUUACACCUGUAGCAGCCCAAGCUGCUCACUUUAAUACGAAACGAACGGUGGGCAGUGACUCGAUGAGAGGUAGAACGUAGGCCUGCGACACUGAUACUUGUUCUGUUAUUCCUAAUCCAUAUGGAUUGACAAGGAUUAGAUGGGAUUAUGGUGUAUUUUGACUCGCUAUGGAUUUAAACCAAUCCAAAAUUAUCAAAACGAACAAGCCAUGAAGUGGAUGGACUCAGAUUGAUACUCAAUUUUGGAUUGAAAAUUAGGAAAACUAGACCAACAAAGAUAGUAAUACCAUAUGGAUUGACAAGGGAUAGAUAGGAUUAUGGUGUAUUUUGACUUGCUAUGGAUUUAAACUAAUCCAAAACAUAGAAAGAACAAGCCAUGAAGUGGAUGGACUCGGAUUGAUACUCAAAAUUGGAUUGGAAAUUAUGAAAACUAUACCAACAAAGAUAGUAAUAACAUAUAAGCGAGAAGUGUAAAUGAAAAGUGCAAGUGAGCAUCCAAAUUUAAUUAAGGCUCUGUUUGGUUAGAGGGAUUAAUCUAGUUUUUACUCUCGUUUAGUCUCUAUUGUAUCAAUGCCCUUGCUUAGAAACUAGAAAACUGGCGCGAAACAAGGUAUUUUGGUCUCUAUUUUGUCAAUGCCCUUGCCUAGAAACUUGCAUAGAAACUAGAAAACUGGCGUAAAACAAGAAAAAUAUUUUAGUCUUUAUAUGUUGCAAAAGUUUAGUCGCCUAUGAACUAAUUUUUGGUCUCUCCAUUUUUUCAUUUAGUUCCUAAUUUGUCAAAUACAAAACUAAAAUAGAGUUUUGGUUUCAGUAUUUGUUAAUUUAAGAACUAAAAUAUAGUAAAAUGAAGAUACUAGAAAUUAGUGACUAGAAACCAAACACCCCACAGUGGAUCAAAUCUCUACUAUAUUAAAACACUAGUUUCAACGAUCGUUUCGUGUCAUUAUUUUUUUAAAAAAACCUACAUUUCUUUAGAAUCAACCCGCACUUCUAUAACCUCUUAGCUACUAUUAUAAUAGAAGAGCUUAUGUAAAAAAUAAGAUAAAAUAAUAUAUAACUAAAUGUCUAAAUCUUGAUUGUUGGCUUCACGUUUACAUCCACAUAAUCAAUAGAAAACAUAUAUUUUAUGCUUUAUUAAAAUAAAAUUUAUCUUAUGUUAUAUAUAGUCGUCUCGUGCCAUUAUUUUUUAUAAAAACCUAUAUUUCUUUAGAAUCAAUCUUUAGAAUCAAUCUGUAACCUUGACCUUGAUUAUUAGUUUCACGUUCACGUCCACUUAAUCAAUAGAAAAUAUAUAUUUAUGUUUUAUUAAAACAAAAUCAAUAGAAAAUAUAUAUUUAUGUUUUAUUAAAACAAAAUUUAUCUUAUGUUAUAUAUAAAAACCUAACAAUGCACAUAUAUUAUACAUAAAAAUAACAUAUAAAAUCAGUAGCAAUGUACAGGCAUAGGCAUAGCAAGACGGACUCGUCCGUACCCGUGUCGACGAGCGUCGGUUGACUCGUGGCUAUGAUCAUUAGCGGGAGCAGCAGGUUAGAGAGGAAAAUAGGGAAAAGGCCGGCACGACGAACAAGACGUCCGACGAAAACGAUGGUACACACAUGCUGUGAAAUGUCCUCGUAGACGUACAAUAGCCAUUACAUGUGUCGGUGUUUGACGAAUAUGCGCACUCUGCCGGCACGGAGAUAGAGGUAUGAGGGGAGAGAAAAAAACACGGAGAUAGAGGUAUGAGGGGAGAGAAAAAAACAUGAUAACGAACGAGAUGCGAUAACGAUGACUAAGAUGAAGACCAUCGUUAUCGUGUAGAGUUAUAGAUAACCAAAUAGACCGUGUCUACCGAACCAAUCCAGGACAGACCCAUCUAAUAGUGUCUGGAUCAAUCCGGCACGAGCGCCCUGUCAUAACCAAAUAGACCGUGUCUACCGAACCAAUCCAAGACAGACCAAUCCGAAACAGACCCAUGCCAUAACCAAAUAGACCGUGUCUACCGAACCAAUCCAAGACCGAACCAAUCCAAGACAGACCAAUCCGAAACAGACCCAUCUAAUAGUGUCUGGAUCAGUCCGGCACGAGCGCCCUGUCAUGAUAUAGCUUAACAUAUUGAUGUCACUACUGCGGUUAGGGCCCCAUGAUGUAGCUUAACAUAUGGGUGCCACUAGUGCUGUUAGGGCCGCAAAGUUACUCAAGUUUGUAUAUUGCAGGCGCAAAAUAAUUGUGGCUUGUAUUACAUAGAAGCAAAGAGCAGAAAUAACAUGUACUAGCACGGAAGCUCCUUGAAACAGCUUACUAUUUUUUUUACAUCUCAGCAAACUUGGAUAGUACUGUAGUAUUUCGAAAGCAGCCUAGCGAACCACGCUGAGUACGUGACGCGCCCAGAGGCCGGGAGCAAAGCGAACUCGACUAAACUAAACGCCGACAGCCCUGCCUGAUGUCGCCGCCGGCGCCUCUAGGCGGUGGCAUGCUUCUCGUCCUUGAGGUGGCGCGCCUUCUCCUUCUCCUUUACCUCCGAGCCCUGCGACGUGUCGUACUCUGCACAGAACAGACCACAGCCGGUCAAUACACCGUCACACACACACACACAAGCUGGAAGACCAGAGCUCGCGUGCACGGCGCGUACCGGAGUGGCUAGGAUGGAUCUCGGCGCCGGGGUGUUCCACGGGGUCGUUCCCGCCGUACACCCCGCCGAAGCCCUCCUCGUCGGAGCGCGUCGAGUACCCCUCCCCGAACGAGUGGGUCAUCACGUCCCUGCAUGCGCGUGACGUGACCGAAACCAAUCAAACGCAGGAGAGAGAAAAAAGCAUACCGCGGGGUGAGCGCGUAGUAGGUAGGAGACGCGGCGGAUCAGGGUUACCUGGUGUGCUUGUGCAUGUCGUCGCGCUUGUUCUCGCCCCCGGCGGCGUCCUGCGGGGGCACCUUGGGCUGCUGCUGCUGCUGCUUCGGCUGCUCCAUGCCGACGCCCUGGUCGCCCGGCACGGGUGCGCUGCCGGCCGGCGUCGAGGAGACGCUCCUCCCGCGUGCUACGCCCGCGGCGGGUACCACCAAGCCUGGCGCAGCGACGCCGCCGCUCCUCGUGGUGCCGCCGAUCCGGCCGAGCGCGAACCCGAGUGCCGUGCUGCUGCUGCUGCUGCUGGCGGCCGCCCGAAACGUGUAGGGGUACAUGAGCAGCAAUGAAGUGGACGCACGCGCACGGCGAUGUGUUCCUAGAGCACGGGCCAGGAGCCGCUUAUAAGCGGCCGCGCCUGCCGUGGGGCUGCCGCCGUCGCGGUGGCGCCGCGCGCGGGGGCACACGUACUGGGGCGCUCCUUGAAGGCCGAAGGCAGCGUGGCGCCGUGGACCGCGCGGAGGCCGCACACGUACACGGACCGGUACACGCGCCGAGCGCACGAUGGGACUCUGCCAGCUAGGGAUGAAAGCGGUAAUCUGAACUAUUAGAACAAAUUUAAUAUUUUAAAAUAGAUAUGCAUAAAAUUUAAUGUUGAUCUUUUCUUAUGUUAUCAAGCACAUUAGUACACAUAUGAAUAAAAUAAUACACAAAUUGUUUUAUGUAUUAUUUGCUCCCUACAACACGAAACGUUGAAAAAAUUACCGAAUUUAUUUCCGAAUUCAUACCGAAGUUUAUAUCUAUUAUUUGAGAAAAUAUAGGAUGAAUUUGAGGUUUUCCUUUUAUGAAUCUUUACAAGCUGGAUGUUAAAAACAAGAAUACAAAUUUAUAUUGUAGAUUAUAUAUCCUAUUUAUUCGCAAUCAAAGAAAAACAACUAAAAAACUGACUACCGAAUAAAUACCGUUUCCGACCGUUUUCAUCCCUACUGCCAGCGGUCUCGUCGAAGAAAAGCGCGCAGAAGAUAGGGACGGUCGUGUCGUCAGUCGCGCCGAUCUCUCUCGCACGCACGCGACUCGCGUCGCGUCGCGGGUCGGCGGGUGGCUACUGGCUAGGUCGAGUCAGUGUAUGUGUGUAUCCGUAUCCGCCGUACUGGCGAUUAUGGGACGGUGACACGAGCUCCCGAUUCUUCAUUUGUUGAUUAGUCGGAAUUCUAUCCGGUUUUAGAAUUAGUUUACUUAUAUUGAUAAAUAUAAUACGACGCUCCACAACUACAACACGGUGCUGAUAAAUAUUUAAAAUAUAACUUUAAAUACAGUGAUUUUUAUAAACAAUAUUUUAUUUACGGAAAUAAUAUAGUUUAUUAUUCCUAAUCGCAGUAGGAACGAAAUGUGUCGGCCGAUAGUUUCCGUCGAGGUUAGGUAAACUUUUGUCACGUCAUAUCAAAUAUUUAAUACUAAUUAAAAAUAUUAAAUAAAAUAUAAUUACAAACUAUUACAUAGAUAAAAACUAGACGACAAGAUAAAUCUAUUAAAUAUAAUUAAUCUAUAAUUCACUUAUGUGAUGAUGUUACAAUAAAUAUUUACUAAUCAUAUAAUGAGUCUAAAAUAAAUUUUAAUUUGAAGUAGAAGGAGUAUAUAUGAUUAAAAUGGAAGGAAUACCAUGACUGCAAAAACACACCCUUAGGACAUGUUUGGAAGAAAGCAAACGGAUAGGAUUUAAGAGACUAAAAUCUUAUUGAUAUUUAAAAUUAAACAACAAAGGUAUUUUAAUCUCCUCCCUUCCCUGCCUCCCAAACAUACCCUUUCUGUUCGACAGGCAGUACAAUCGCUGAAGAAUGUGCCAUACUAUCCCGUGAUCCUACCACGUGCUUGUGCUAAUCUGUUUUGGACAAAUGCGCAAGUGCAACCAUGCACUCAUUAAAGACCAAAUCUGAGGACAAGAUUACGAAACAGUGCACCUACCACCAUGGGCACAGGCGCACAGCCUACGGUAUGCCAAUUUCACUGUGAUCCUCCAGUAACCUCCGUUUCUGCUGGAGUCAACUUUGCCUUUUGCAGCUACUGUACCUCUCCUUGGACCGACGACACUACACGCAAUCCACCUCUAAGCAUUCUGAUCAUCUCACAACACAGGCUUGAAGCACAGAAACGAGGGGACACGCGCUUUCAGCCUGCUGGGGCACAGGCUUAGCGUAGCUAAUCCAACCCCUCCAGUCUGCUGGGGCAGAAGAUGUCAAGCAAGCGAUUGUUGAUUAGAACCCUAGUCGGCAGUAUAUGGUAGUAAACCCCACGCGUGGCUUCCUAAAAAUGUGUCGGGUCUCGACUUGCUAUCGCUGAUGGCAUGGCAACGUCAACGUGGGACCCGCCGACAGCUAGAAAUGGCUUCAAACUCAAGCUGCAUGGAGGUAAGCGAGCGAACAGUUCAACUAGGCGGCAGUCAGCUGUAUCUGCUCUCUGCCAAAACAAGUCUGGGCUAUUUGAUGCUAUUGCAAGUCUCGGUCAGUUCAGGGCUAAGGUUGUAUUUGGUUUGGCUUUUUGCUUUGGUUUUUGCCACCUAAAAGCCAAAAGCCAAAUCAAAGGACUGGAUAUAGAAAACAACUUUUUCUAAAAGCUGUUUUUCUUACAAUGCAAAAUUGAAAGCAUCCUUGAAACUGUUUUUAGUGGCUUCCGGAUAUAACUGUGAAAACAUAUAUCGAAUAAUUUUUAACGGCUUUUAGUGGUUUCGACCAAACGGUUUUUAGCUUUUUAACAGCUCAUAGACCACAACAGUUUUUUCCACAACUCACAACCUACAUUAGUUUUUUUUUUUCACCGCCACAGUCCAACCAAACAUAAAGUUGCAACCCUAAGUUGCAAUGGACUUCUCUAUCACUGUUGGAAGAACUUGUGUUUUCUACAGUAAACUGCAGUCAAAAGAUGAAACUAGACAAAAUACACCUUCUUGAGAGACAUAACAUCCAUUGGAACAUAUGAAUUUCAAGAAGAAAAAACAGCAUCGCUCUCACUGCUUGGUCCAUAAUCAUGGCUUGGUGCGGGCCAACUAAACCAAAAAAGCCAUCGCUCCGAGUCCAGGUAUCUCGGUCACUGCGUGCGUUCCCAUCCAAGAGAAUGGCGACCGAAAGAGCCGCAAAAUAACGGCAGACAUACAGGAAAAUAAAUCUUUGCAUUCGGGAUACAAAGAAACUACUUUGGAGCCUCUCACAUCCCACCACUGUGGUCCAUACAAAUAAAAAAGAUUAAAUUACGAAAAUGUGAAAUUGCAAAUUUUAAUCUGUCUUUAUGGAUCUAAGCGAUGUAUGUGAGGAGCUGUAAAAGAGGACGUUUGUAUCUGGGAUGUAAAAAAAUAAUAAUCCGUAAUACGAUCCUUUCCGCUAAAGAAUGAAUAAUGACUUGUAGCUAAAAUGCAUUGAGUAAUGAAGAGGAGUAGCAAUUCUGACUCCAGAAGAAAAGGCUAAGCAUCAACAGAAAGGAAAUAUGCUGCCUUCCCCAUCGAGAUAAAGCGCCAAGCCUCCUAACAAAUUGCACGAAAAUGACAGCUUACAAUCAGAACAGCAAGGAUACAGGAUACAGUCAUACAGGGCGGGCGCUAGAGUAGGGUAAUGAGCGCAUUGCUUCUCUUUUCACAUAAACGGUGGCGUACCUGAUGUGCAUUGGAACACCUGCAACAUUCAUACGCAGCUACAUAGAAGAAAAAUGCAGAGAGCUGUCCGUGGUGAAUACUUUGAGAAACAAGGGUGUCAUUUGGUUCACGAAAUAUAACGUAAAUGGUAAUAGUAAUGAUUUACAGUUGAGUACCGAUGAUAACAAGUUUAAAUAGGUCAGUAUUAAUUUCUAGUAUGAUAUCUGAUUACGGUUGGACCAAACAUGAUUUAGUGUUAUCGGUUACCUAUUACGUUAUAAAUAUAUAGACCAAACAGCAACCAGCGACACAUGAGAACCAAGGCCUGAGGUCAUGAACCUUGAAAUGGCAACACAUGAGAGCUUGGGAAAGAAUGCAGAUUAAUGAAGUAGUAGCAAUUGACACGCUUAUAAAUGACAACCCUGGGGUAGCACGCAGCAUAAACUGGACAAUGCAAGGCUGACAUUAGGUGCAGAAUUUCAUUUCGUGCACUACACUACCAUUGGUACCAAAUACACGAGAAUAGUAGGUGCAAUAACACCACAUUUGUUAUACUAGUUAGCUUUGCGACUGUAAGCUUAUUGAUUGCAACGAUGGAGGUGCCUGCAUGCUUUUUCAAAUCCAUAGACAUAUAGAAUGACCACUCGCCACUGUCAUCAGAAUUCAGAAAACCACAUGAGCAAGCAGUCUACUCCACCUCACCUGCUAUCCAUUUCUAUACAUUUAGCGCUAAAUUUGCUCUAGCUACUGAUCAUGUAGAAGAACAAACAUCAAACAAGGUAACUAAAGUCCCCAAUUAUACCAUCUAGCCAUUGUCAUCAUUUUGGAAGGAAAUUAAGACAAUGCAAAACCAGUCUAUUCAUUUCUUCCCUGGUCCUAUGACAAUGCUACAUACAACAGCACCAAUACACACACAAAAAAAAAGGGACUCACCGCCAAGCGGACACGGUGAGCAGCGGCUGCUUCUCCCAAGCCAGAGACAAGAACGCCGGUGGCAGCUCAACAAGUGAAUACUUGUACUUGGAAUCGUAAUUCCAGAGCAAAAGAUCGGCCUGGCUCAUGGCGUAGUUGCUGAGCUUGACAGGCUCAAAGCCACACCACUCCAUCAGCGUCUGCCACUCCCUACUAGCCGCCAUCCUAUCAGUCCUCUCUGCGCCUUCCUCUGGCCCAAUGGCCCUUCGAAUGCGCUCCCCAAACAUGCAUCGCUCCACCCUCACCCUCUCCGGCGAGUCCCGUGGCAUCGCCACGUCCAGCGACUCGAACACUGGCUUGUAAUACAGCAGUGCAUUGGCAAAACGAUCGACGAACCCAGCUCGGUUCAGGCUGACCUCGUAUUCCCCAAGGGUAACCACCGAUGGAUCGAGCGACUUAACCAGCCGGAGGACACGUCGCACGGGCUCAUCGGAGUCGCCAAGGAGGUGGUACAACUGGAGCAUGAAAUUGACGGCUACGGUCUCGUCAGGCUCAACCAAGAAAUCCGACCGAUCCAGCUCGUGCACCGGCCGCAGCAACGGGACGAACUCGAAGUCCACCCCGAGAAGCUUGGCGAAGUCGCGGAGACGGGCACUGGUUGCGGCGAGGGACGCCGCAGGCUUUGGCCCCAGGUACGGCGAAGGCACGCCGGAGAUACGUACCCGGGACGGCUUCUCCCCCGGGCGAGUGGCGAGUGCCUGCAGCAGCGCCGCCCAUUGGAUACCCUGCACGAUCCCGAAGUCAACGAUGUGAAUCUUGGUCGCCGCGCCCGUAGCCUCCAGGAUGGCCUGGUUGGCGGUGAGGUGCGCGAACUUGGAGUAGGGGCAGGCGUCAUUGAGCGUCUUGUAGCAGAGCGUGAGCUCGUCGGGGGCGAAGCGCGAGUCCACCGCCAGCGAGGGUUGCGCUUGCGCCCCGCCGCCGCACGCGAGCCGGCGCGCCAGCGCGUCCGCGAAGUAGAACGCCACGCGCUCCGCGGGGUCCCCGUCGUCGGAAGCGGCAGCGCGCACCUCGGCGAGCUCCGCGGCAGCGAGCCCCGUGCCAGCGGCCGCUGUACGGGAGCAGGCGAGGAGGGACUGGAGGAUGGGCGCGGAGCAGGCGGCGUCCAGGGAGCUCGGAGAGGAACACGCUGCCGGCGCAGCGACGGCGGCAGGCUGGGGAAGCGACGCCGGGGUGGCGGCCUCGGGCUGGGCCGCCGCGUCGACGGGGGCCACAGCAGAAGCGGGAGCGGGAGCGGGAGCGGGUACGGGCGGCGGCGGCGGCGGGGUGGUGAAGAUGAGGCGCUCGAGGUCGGAGUCCGCGAAGACCGGCGCGUCCCCGAUGAGGCUGUUCAUCCAGACAUCGGAGUCGAAGUCCGCGGCGGCGGCGAGGUCCGAGAACACCGCAUCGGCCGCGGACGUGCCCACGAAGGCGUCAGGGAAGAAAUGGUCCGCCUGGGGCCACGCGCCGCCGCCGUAUGGCAGGGACGCCGCCGGGAUCUGGCCGUGCGGGGGCGCCGUGGCCGGUGGCAUAGGCAGCGCCUGGCGCGGCGGGGGCGGGAGCGGGAGCGGCAUCGGUAGGUGGUGGUGGUGGUGCCUCUGGUGCUCUUGCUGCUGCUGUUGUUGCUGCUGCUGGAUCACCUGCUGCGCGAUGGCCAUGAGGUUGCCGCUGUCGGCGCACAUGUACGCCAUGGCGCUCCCCGCCGUUUCCGGUGGUAGAAUCGCGGAAUGGUGUAGGGUGGGUAUCGGCGCGGCCGGGGAAUUCUGCGGUGUCGUUUUGGGAGAAUGAUGGAAGGGGGGGACGACGGCGGGGACGAGCGGCGGCAGGGGAUUUAAAACAGUGGUGUGGGCACUGUGGUGUACUAUGGUGGCAGUGGCACACACACUCGCAGGCCCUGCGCGGGGCGCAAUUACGGGACUGUCCUCGGGCGUACAGAAUCCUAGAAUGCAGUAGCCCCUGCUGCCCUGCCUGAGGUUGGGGUUGGCUUCCACUUUUGUGGUCACCUGGCCUCAACGGUAAAAUGAGAGCCAGUGAUGAGCCAGGAGGGAGAGGGAGGUGCGCCUGGGCUUGAACUGCGCCGGUCAGGAGUGACCCGCUAGGAUCUUCAGCGGUUGGUAAGUUCUGAACUCCUUUUGUCAUAGCAGUAGGCCGCGAUGAUCUCGUUUGGUCCGAUAUCUGGGGGAAUUGGGGGAAUAAGAGGCUAUUUGGUUUUCCCAGCUGAAGUUCAGUCUCUGUUAGAUUAGACGUUUAAUAUUAAUUAUGAGUAUUAAAUAUAGUCUAAUUAUAAAACUACUUGCAUAAAAGAAAAUCAAACAACUAGACAAAUAAUUAGGACUAAUUAAUCCAUAAUUAUCAAAUGUUUACUAUAGUAUCGCAAGAGUGAAUCAUGGACUGUUUUUUUUAUAGAACAGUAGGUGAGGGCCCCUACUGAAAAUUUUAUUUAAAAUUUGAAAAAAACAAAGUUUAGAACAAACAAGAAGACGAAUUACAGGGGGUUAGGGAGAGUUUGUACUGUCAUUGUUGAAGCCAUGCCGGGAUAGCAGAAUCAAAUCUACCCAAAGUUCUGUGAAUGACAAGGAGUAAUUCAUUUGCAAACUCCUGCUUGCAAUGCUUCACCGUUGGAUCUUUGUUCUGAAAAAGCCAAGCAUUGCGGCACUUCCAAAUGCUCUAGGUCAUGAGAAUAAUAACCUUCAUAGAGAAUGGAACAUUGAGUUGUUGUUUUAGGUUUGCCACAGCCUCCUCAGGAUUAGCAAUUCUAGGUGGAAUCAGACCGAUUGAGUGUCAGCAGGCCUUCGCGAAGUUGCACAUGAGGAAUAUAGAUGAUAAAGAGUUUCCUCCUUCUGCCAGAUGCAGUUCUCGCAGGUGUAAGACUCAAGAGUCAUGUUCUUCCUCCUAAAUCAUGGACUGUUUGGAACUAACUAAGAGUUAUGUGCAUCCUCAAUAGCAGAUUACAAUGCCCUUGUUUUUUCCCCCUCUCUUGCGACGAGACCAUUCUUCCAAAAAUAAACUUGAACAACAAGAACGCAAGAGCAAGCAGAAAUACAUUCAGUCAUUUCAAAGCAGAAGCGCAAGCAAUGGGCAUGUAAAAGGUUUAGCGAGACCCGGUAUUGGAUUCCAAAUCCCACACUGACACACGAUGGCGAGAUAAGUUACAAGAGGUGAACCUCAAGUUCCAUGUUUGAAACUGCUUACUGGCUUUCACUAGAGGGAACACAUGUGUCAAUGUGUGGCAAGACACAAAUGACAAACCUAUAAACUAGAGCGUGCAAUAGGAAGCUCAAGUUGAAACACCAAGCUCAAACAUCUACAGUGACCAUGGGAUCCCAGUGUCCAGUGACGUGAUGAUCACUCUUUAUCUCGCAAUAUUGGUGCCUCAAGAAGCUUGCGAGGUAACUCUUCAACUUUCGAUUCUUAGUUUAUGACAACUGAUAGAAAUACACAAAUAAGGAGUUCUAUGAAUUCAGCGUGUCAGUACCAACCUGGGCAACAAAUAUAUAUAGGACACAAGAAUCAACAAACAUAUGGUAUCCUGAUGGCUUUGAGAGUAUCUUGGGAGCAAGCCACAUUCCCAGGUCCGCUGCAGUGCCCACUGGCCACUGCCCACCACCAGGAGCCCUCUUCUGCCUCCUUCCCUUGAGCUUCGCCGACUACGCGAUUCAGUGCGGGAUUCUGCAGGACUCGCCUCAUCCUUGCUGUGGCUAUGAGCAACUGCCGCCGCGAAUUCCACCAAAGCUCCGGCAAGAGAGAGGAAAAAAAAAAGACCAGUUGCCUUGGCCACAGGAAUUCUAGCCUAGCCCGGUGGAAGGGGGACGGGCGUGCAGGGAAGGAAGGAUUCCGCCGUGCCCUACCGGCCCGAGACGUCGUUGUCACUCCGGAGCACGGGUAGGCCUGCAAACGGGGUGGGUGUAAAUGGGUAUUUUAGGUGAGUUUAAAAAAUGAUUUUGUUUUGACGGGUUAUGAUGGAUUUUAAUUGUGAAUGAGUUGGUUUGGGUGGGUUUAUUUUGUAUUGUGGGUCGAAAUGGUUGAUACCCAUGGGUGUAGAUGGUUUACAUAGGCAUGAGCUUCCAUGGGUCUUCACCCAUUCGUAGACCAUACAACUGUAUUUGAGUCGACUCUCAACUUAGUCCCAAGUCCCAACAUACUCAACUCAACCCUAACUCUCCAAGUCUUCACCCGUGCAUCGGCGGUCGCAUCCUGCUUCCUGCCCCGGCGGCCGACACUCCCCUCUCCCCAAGUCUUCGCCUCGGCGGACGGAGCUCCCCUGGUCCCUGCUGACGCCCGACGCUAAUUAGACACUUUCACACUUAGACCUAAGCACGGGACCCCAGCCCCACCUGCCAAUAAUAUUAUUGGAUGGGUUGUGUUUAAUUUCCUUCUUAUAUUUUUGGAUGGGUGUGUGAUGGAUAUCAAAGUUAUUAUAUUUGAGUAUAUGUGGGUGUGGGUUGGAUUUUUUGACAUCAGCCCCACCUGCCAAUGGAACACGGUGCAGAGGCAGCGCACGCCCGGGCCAGCGGGCCCCGAGUGCGUCGGGGUACCGUGCCGACUGCCGAGCACGAGCAGCCGAGGCCAUGGUGUUGGCCGUGGCCCGCGCCGACGUGCCACGCUCGUCCGUAGGGAUGGAUUCAGAUGUCUGGAGAUCCGAAACAUCCGUAUUCGUAUUCGGAUAAAGUGCUAAUAUGGAUAUCCGUAUUCGUAUUCGAUUUUAAUAUGGAUGUUAAAUAGACAUAUCCGAAUUCGUUUCUUCUCUAUCCGGUUUAAGAUUCGUAUUCGACAACAUUCGACAAAACCGUGAAAUAUCCGAUACUAUUCGUAUUCAAAAGAAUAAAGUAUUCAAUAAAAUCAAUUUAAACUUACUUUUAUUACUAAUUACUAAUUACAAGUGAUUUUAAACAUUAAAUAAUAUACUAAAAACUGAAGUACACCAUUUAAAAUGUUAAAAAUAUUUAUAUCAUAAACAAAUGACUGUGUUAAUCUUACAAUACUAGUGAUAUACAAUGAUAAAUUUUAAUAAUAUUUAAAAGUAUAAUUUUGAAUACAUUAGAUUAUUGGAGUUUGAGUCCAAAAUACAAAUAUACUUAAUAUACAAAAAGAUUAUAAUUAGAGUCUAAAAUAUAAGUAUACCAUAUAUAAAUAUUUUAUUUAAAAAUAUCAUAUUCAACUAAGUUUCAACUAAAUAAUGUAUAUGUACUAUUGUUCAUAAUUUGCUUGUAAUGUGAUUUUUAUCAACUAUAAAUCCAUCGAUAAAACAAAUUAAUACUUGUUAUGAUGCUAUGUUCUAAAUCAAGUAAGUAUCCGAAUGUAAAUCCGAAUUCGAACUAUCCGUUUUGUAUUAGUAUUCGACAAUAUUCGUAUCCGUAUCCGUAUUCGGAUUAAAAUAUGGUAAAUAGUGACAUUCGAAUCCGUAUUCGAUCCGAAUCCAUCCCUACUCGUCCGUCCGUCCCCUGCCUGGCUGCCUCGGGACGCCGUCCCGUGACGUGACCAUGCGGGUCCCCUGAUCCCGGCCUCGCGCCCGGGUGGCGGGCCCCCACCUCCCUGCCGCACUUGUGCCACUGGCCUGGCGCUCUGCGUGUUGCUCGGAGCCUGCCUGGGAGGGCGGGACGGAGGGACACGGCGGCAGCAGCACCUCGCGGCUCGUCCGUACUAGUACGGUACGUACAGAGCUUUGACUGUCCUGCCGCGUCCGAUCGGCUCGGCUGGCACGCCUACUCGCUACUCGUACUGGUCUAAGUGGCGCGGGGCCCGGGGUCAUAAACCCAAAGCUGCAGUGGAACGAACAAGUGAUGCGCACAGUGCGGUGCGGCCCCUUUCUGCUUCUGCCCCCUGAAUUCGGGACUAGCCGCACCCGCGAGCUGGUGAUAGGCUAGCUCGUUUGUCCGAAGUGAGCGACGCGGGGUGGAAGCGUGGUAGUAGGCUGCUCGUCUCGUGUUCGUAUUGCACACAGCGGUGGCUCCCGCCAGUCCGCUGGUGAUCUGCCCGCGCUGCUGCCUUGCUUGCCGCUGGUCGCAGUGACGACGACGUCUAGUACGCGCGAGAGGCCGCCAAGCCGGGUCAGGGCAGGGCAGGUUCCCCGGCCGGCCCCGGUGUGGGAGUGGGACGCACGAAAUGCACGGUGCCCCAAACUCCGUAGCGAGCGCCGCUGGCGCCCGUGGAACGGCGCUCGAAGCGGCCCCUGCCAGCGACGUCAGCCUCGGGGCCGACGGGUAUAACUUCUCGUUUUUCUUGUCUCGAGACCUGUCGGGCCCCCCUUUUUCCAGUUUCUUCUAUUCGGGCACGCGAAUCGAUGCCCGCCCUGCCCCUGACGAUUUGCCUGCAACGAUUGCACGCACGAGGACGAAGGACGGGCGAUGUCUCCGUGCACGCUCUGGCCUGCGACGUGUGCAUGCAUGGAGCUGAUGAUAAUUGGUGCCCAAGUUCCCUUUUUUCUUAUUAAUUUUUUUUUUGCGGGUAAAUUGGUGCACAAGUACGGCACUGUUUAUACAUUGUUUCGUGCAUAUGGUAAAGAGCAAGGAAAAUGAUUUGUGGCAAGGCAGUCCAUCGUGCCUAACCUUAUCGGAACUAGGACUGACGUACGUACCCUUAUCCAACCACGCAUUAUGGACUGCCUAUAUAAGAUCUCGCUUUAUCGUAAUCUAAUCGUUUUUACACGUGCAGCGGUCGCGCGGAUGACGUGUCUAUGGGGGUGCUGAAAAUGAUUGUGCCGCGACUGUGAGGGCCAAAUUACGUGCGCUGAACACCAACCAAUCCCGGUCAACCGUAUAGAAUUUUUUUAAGCAAUGGCGCUGUCGGGACGUGAAUCUCGAGCCCACCGUUGGCCAAGCGUGCGCUCCAGCCGUCUAUGAGCGCGGGAAAGCCAAGGAGCACCGUGAUCUGGUCUCUGCCGACCUCACAGCCACGACCACCACUACAUGCUAAAUUCUAAGAAUCCCUUGAUUUGAUCUGCUAAAUUAUAGGAACCGUUCCAUGUAAUAUCUCUAUAUGCAACCAACUGGAGAUCUCGUACGUAGCGUGCGUGUUCAUUACACCUGAUUGACGUGGCCGUUUAGAACACGACACGACGUGAUCGCGCAUCGUUACAAGUCACGCGAUAAAUAACGUGAAACGCGAGCGCGCGCAUGACAGCCUCCAUAACCAUUUAUUUAUCUCAUGUGAAGAAUAAGGAACACAACCACAUAUAAGUUGGUUCUCUUUUAUAUAGAUGAGCGACAUAGGAUUAAAGUCUCAUACCAUAUCUACACAUCAUCUUGACUUUCUUAUUGAAUUGGGUCACACACUAGUGACCCUAAUUCUAACAAGGUCGUCAUACGAGCACCAAACGUCAUGCCAAAAGGAGGUGCUCUUCCCGUCGUAGACCUCACAGGUGGUGAUAGCACGGUAAAAAGAGAGAUCAAGGAUUAAAUUUAGUUUAGGUUGCUGUCAGGAACGGAGGUUUUAACAACUUUUCUCUCGCUAGGCUUGUGGUUUUCAUACUACUAGUGAUAGCAGUAGUCAGUAGUGCGUGUUUUCCCUCCGGAUUUGGCAAAGCACGAAGAACUAUCUAGCAGCAGUUCGUACAGCUUUUGUGAGAUUAAAAGGCGCCCAAUAAAAAAGACAAAAGUUGAUCGAGGGCAAAGUCCCAAAGACGAAGGCAAAUCCAGCGACCGAAAGCAGCCCCCCUCCCCCCUCAGAUGCAGCGCGGUCAAGCGGCGCCUUCACACCAGGGGUCCGCCAGCGAGGAGUGCCGACUGGCGGCGAGUGCGGACGUCGCCGUCGCAUCGCGCUCGCCAGGUCCUGGCGUCGCCACCAACCCGGCCGGCUGGCGCGACGUCGACCAUCCCUGCGCUGCUCGCGCACAAAACUCUCCCGGGCCAGGCCACCUCUAGUUGACUAGCAGCAGCAGCAGCUUGCGGACUGUGGACUACGGGAAGCGUAGUCACGUCUAGUUGCAUCGGUUGCCACCACCAGAGCGAACACCCACACAAAUACUCGUUUGUUUAGCUGUUUUCCUAGUUUUGACAUGUGCCAUUACUUGUCUUGUUUGGGCCUCGACUGAGACAUCGAGAUCGAGUCCACUACAGAGUAGCACUCCAGGGCUUUGGAUCCAUGGCUAGUAGUCCGGUUUUCAGAAACGUGCGUGCUGCGGUGCUGGCCUGGCACUUGGCAAUUGACAACUUGACAGUAGUACAUGGGGGGUGUUUCUCAAGGGCGCCUCAAGCCUCAUCAAGUCAUCAGAUGUUUGGCAUGUUGCUUGGUGGUGCACUGCAGCGCUUGCUUGGUCGAGAGAGAUUAACAAGUACUAUAGCCCCGAUCCAGUGAUGUAUCAUCUGUCUCGAUCAGCCUACUGCAACCGCGUUGUUCCCCGCGCUCGCCAGACGUCUCCGCCGUCGCCGGCAGUGCACGCAGCAUUAUUAUAGUAUAGUCGAUGGAUCUCUCUUUCAUGCAUGCAGCUGUUUUGGUUGUAGGCCAUGCCUUGCCAGCCACUCGUGUUUGGAUGCUUAUCUGUCGUCGUCUUCUGUGCUCCAAAUCUCGCAUAUAAUUUGAUCGAAUAAUGGUCACUGCUCACGUGGAGUGUGGCUUCGCAGUAUGUAUCGCAGAGUAUAUGCUACAACGCACCACUUCAGGCCCGUCCAUCAGCGACCAUCCAGGGCCUCCCCUGAUCCCCUCAGAAAUACAAGCACAGCGCACAGCAGGCCGUAGGCCCAAUAGACGGUCCAGGUCUCGGAAGCUGAAUCGAUCGCAUCGGCAUCCAUGGUCCACCACAGUGCUCCAGUACAUCACAGACUCGCCGUUCUGUCCGUCUAGUGUGGCAAUUGCCAUUACAUCAGAUUUUUUUUCUCAAAUCCAUUGUAAUAGUAACAAUAUAGGCACCAAAAAAAGUUAAUAUGGUUGUAUCUGAUAUAUACUACAGUUAUUCAUACUAGGGAGAUACUUACAUGUUGUACUAGUACAAUGCCUGUACACAAUGAUUACAUUGAAACGGAACAACACAUAUAUUAUUAUUGACCUAUCUCACAAAUUCUUUGCCAACAACUAAUGUAGUGUAGCUCCCAAAUUUUAAAUCGGCUAUCCAGACUCAAUCUCAUUAUUUUAUUUCAGAUGAUUUCAAUUAAAGCAUUGGUUACAGAACAUCCUAUACAGUCCCUAGAAAACAGAUAAUAAACUAUGGAUUGAACGGGCUGACUCCGAGCAGACAUACUCAAACUCUGAAUCACUAAGGUCAUUUCCCUUCCUUCUCUUUUAGCUACUGAGUACUAAGAACGAGCAAGGCAGGGUUGGAUUAGAUGUGACCAACAAUACUAAGAUAAUCAUCACAAAGAACUCAUUGUAUCAGCUUCGACAAGAGACUCAAGCAACUCUUGUUCCGUACUUGUAUUUACAUGUCCCAUUACUUUCCAUCCAUCUGUUAGAGAGAUGGUCCUGAAAUCUCCAAUGACCAUUCGGGCAUAGACGAGCAAGGGACAGGGUGCGUCACACGUUCUAUGUUGUUAGAAGCAAGUAAAUUCCUCGAGUUGAUCGAUACAGACCAUCUUCAGAGAUGGCACCUGUUCGAACCAAAAGUGAGCGUGAGGCCGGACCGUCCGCGGUCCGGACGGUCCGCGCCUGUGGGCCGGACGGUCCGCGCGUGCGCAGAACAGAUUAGGGUUCCGAGUUUUGUGCUACGGUUGUUAGCUAUAUUCGCGGGAUUAGCUCGGAAUCAGUUGUGUAAAGGGUCCAGCCCCCCUCCUCUAUAAAUAGAGAGGUCUACGGCCGAUUUGUAAUCAUCAACAAUCGAAUCAAUACAACUUUUAUUCGCAUUUUAUCCUAGGAGUAGUUCUAGUCUAGUUUAGGUUUAGCCUCUCAAUCCCAAAUUCUUCGCCUCUCUUCGACUCUACGCCGAUUGGAGGAGUCUAGGUCGGCCGGCCCGAGCCUAGACAACCCCUAGGAUCUCUCCUCCCCGACGGGGUCCCUCCCGGGAGCGAGAUCCAGGCCGCCGCCGGCGACUUCCGCCGCCCCUGCGUACGCGCGGACCGUCCGGCCCUAGGGCGCGGACCGUCCGAUCGUCAGGCAGAGAAGCCCUAGCCGCGCACCAGGUCGCGGACCGUCCAGCCCCAGGCCGCGGACAGUCCGCCCCUAACCAGAGAGUACCACCGCGCCUCGCACCAGGCCGCGGACCGUCCGGCCCCACGCGCGGACCGUCCGCCCCUGUGCAGAGGGCACCGCCACGGUUCUUCUUGAGUAAUUGGCGCUCCCAAAAGGCGUCAACAUACUUUUUGGCGACUCCGCUGGGGAAGACAUAUCUAAGCUCAUCAAAUCGGCCCUCAAUGGCCGGUUCAAGGGAUAGCUCUGAUAUUUCUCCAAGCAACAUCAUAGAGCCAACUUGGGAAACCUUGCCGGCUGACGAGCAGCUCCAGUUCGAGGAGCACAAGGAGCGGAUGAUCCAGGAGGCGAAAGCAAAGUUUCUGGCCAACUUCAAAGUGGACAGGAACAACAAGGUCGUCCGACAUCGGGCGACGGAUCCGGCUUCGCUCCAACCCACGCCAGAUAUCCCCAAUGUAAGUAAUACCAACGAGCUACAAUCUCUUAGAAAUUAUGUAGAAGAGCAGCGUGAACAAAUGCAGAGCAUCAUAGGGGGUAUGCAAAGCGAUGUUAAGAGACUAGUACGUGCAUUCGAUAAGUCUAACAUCGCAAAUUUUCCUUCACACGAGGUUGGGUUAGGAGAUAACGCGUGUAACACAUCGGCUACAGGUUGUCACGACCAGUCACAACCCCUUUAUGGGAUGCCGAUGGACACAUACCCUAAGCAACCGCAAAUCGGCAGCAAACCAGCCGAUCUGCACAUGCCCGGACCGUCCGCACGUGAGCGCGGACCGUCCGGGCCAGCAACAGUCGGGCCUAUUUUUAAUGAGUUACCUAGAUAUGCGCCCGAGCCACCACACACGGCACAGAACCCAAACUACCCAGUCGGACGGUCCGCAUACAACGACGGACGGUCCGCAUAUAACCACGGACGGUCCGGGUACGUAUCCGGACAGUCCGCGCAUGAGUAUUUUGAGGAGGAUUAUUACAUGAAUCCUCGCCCGUCCCAGCAACACUUCCCAUCACACUAUGCGAUGCACCAGCCCAUUAAUUCAGGAUCCAAAGCCCAGGAAAGCUUUCCGGCCCCACCUAGAAGGCCGGAAAGAAACGAUCAAACCUAUGACCCAUAUAGGGCAAAUGAAAAUGCACCACGUAACUCAAACCAAUGGGGGGAAAGACAACAUGCUAAUAUCCAGCCAACCCCACCUAUGUUUGACCAGAGAGCCGGUGGUCUUGCACCGGCUGCCAUUGAUAUAGUAAGGGAAGAAAUAGCCGGGGCGUUCCGAGAUAAGCUCGGAGUAAGCAUGGUCCCUGGGGGGCAAUCAUAUCGGAAACCUUAUGACAGCCGAUUUGAUCACCACCCAUACCCACAGGGAACCAGGAUACCCGAAUUCGCAAAAUUUUCGGGUGAUCAAGGGAAAAACACACGCGAACAUAUAGGCCAGUUCUUAGCACAAUUGGGAGAAUUGGCCGACACAGAGGCAUUUCGCGUACGUUUAUUUUCAUUAUCGCUAACAGGAACCGCGUUUGCAUGGUAUGCCACUUUGCCUCCUAAUUCCAUUUCAUCAUGGGGGGAUCUAGAACAAAAAUUUCAUGAACAUUUUUUCUCCGGUGAUUAUGAAUUGGAUUUGGUAGAUUUAGUGUCAUUGCGACAGACAAAAGACGAAUCGGUUAAUGAUUACAUCCGGAGAUUCCGCGAUACAAGAAACCGAUGCUUUCAAAUUCAUUUAGCAGAAAAACAGCUAGUAGGAUUAGCCUUUAAUGGUCUACGAUAUUAUUUAAAAGAGAGAUUAGAAGGCAUCCAAUUUUUUACACUAGCACAGUUACACCAGAGGGCUUUGGCUUGCGAAAGCCGGAGCAAAGAAACUGCUAAAACAAUGCGUCACAACGUACAUAUAGUAGAAUGCGACCAAAGUAGCUCAGAUGACGAAUCAGCCGAAGUAUAUGCUGCUGAAAUGGUUUGGCCAAAACAGGCCAAAUCUUCGGCUUGUUCCUCCUUGCAGCCGGUUCAAAAGAAACGGCAAGAGGAGGUUAAGUUUACGUUUAAUGUUGGUAAGUGUGAUAAAAUAUUUGACGAAUUACUCAAAAAUGGCAAUAUUAAAAUAAAUCACACUGUUCCAUCCGCCGACGAGCUAAAACGUCGUGCAUACUGCAAGUGGCAUAACUCAUUUUCUCAUGCCACUAAUGAUUGUAAUGUAUUCCGACGACAGAUUCAAUCGGCCAUUAAUGAGGGACGAUUGAAAUUUCAGGAAAUGCAGGUGGAUACAGAGCCCUUUCCAAUGAACGUGAUCGACUUUGAGGGCAAGAAAGUCCUGGUUCGGCCAAACACGGCCGAUAAAAGCAAAGGCAAAGAGGCAAUCAUCGGCAAUUCUAAAAAGGCCGAUGAGGAUCAUAAAGUUUCUUGCAGAAAAGUGGUAGCCGAGAAGACUCCCGAUGGAGGGGAGACCCUAAAGGUGACCAUCACAGCCUCCAGCACUGGGGGGCAAGCGCAGACAGGGAGACAGAUGCAGGAACCCGUGCUGCGUAUCCCGGACGGUCCGACACAUAGGCGCGGACGGUCCGGGACCCCACCGGACGGUCCGGAGAGCUCCAGCGGACGGUCCGGCCGUACUCAGGACUCGCAGCGACCACGUACCUUCAAACCACGACGACCAGAGAUAGGUACGUGGAAAACAAAUACAUUUAAAGCAGCUGGUCGGCUGAUCAAGCCUGGCCCAACUUUCGAUCAAUUGUUGUCUAAAUAUGUGAAAAAGAAGGCCGGCCCCAGUGACCGGCCACCGAAGCGACCCCGCUCACCCAUUCAUGAGCAACGUCAGGUCAGGCCGAUUGGACCACCUCACCAAUCGGAAGAAAUGAAAGGUCCUAUUGUACAAUUGAGACCUAACAUGUCGACAUGGACCCCUCCACCUUCUUAUCCAU